AAUAGUACAUGCAUCAGUUAAGAGAACUGAAUAACAGACAAAUAUAAGCUCUAUACAUGGCCCAGUCCUUUUCCUACCUUCAUCUUGUCAUGUUCUUCAUAAUAGUGCUUCUAUCACUAGUAAUGCCUUGUUAUGGUGCUGAUCCAUCUCCAUUACAAGAUUACUGCAUCGCGGAUUUAAGUUCAGAUAUAUAUUUGAAUGGCUAUCCUUGCAAAAACCCUGAUAAUGUAACUGCAGACGACUUCUUCUACGAAGGGUUCAUCAACGAUACCAGACAGUUCGAUGCCGAUGGAAUGAAAGCCUCCGGAGCACAUGUUGACUAUUUCCCGGCGGUAAACACUCUUGGAGUAGCCAUGAUUCAAAUACAGCUUCUCAAAGGAGGAGUUGCUGCCCCUCACACACACCCCCGGGCGACUGAGAUGCUUUUAUUGAUGAAGGGGAAAGUCAUUGCAGGCUUUAUAACCACUGAUAAUAUCUUAUUCUAUAAGACUAUGACCCCUAAAAUGUUGGUUGUGAUCCCUCAGGCUUUGGUGCACUUUGUAUACAAUGUUGGGGAGGGAAGGGCUCUCCUUUAUGCAGGCUACAACAGUCAACAACCAGCAACUCAGUAUAUGGCUCAUGCUCUCUUCAAUUCCACGCCUAGUGUUCCCGAUGGUGUGUUGACGAGAUCAUUCCGAGUAAAUGACUCCAUUGUUGAGCUCAUUAAGUCCAGCCUUUCUGUUCCACUAUUUCCAGAUAUCAUGUCAAACACAUCCUCGGGGAGCGUCAGGCUAAAGUAGGCACAUCUUGGUUCACUUAGUGCUCGUUUGAAGUUGCAGUGAUUUAUCGAAAGCACUUUGAUGUAGUGAAACUUUCAAUUAAAGUACUUAUUAGGUGUUUAAGUGUGUUGGUUGGAUACAUACUUGAGAAUCCACUUAUUGUAUUGAAUAAUGUAUGGUUUUGAACUUUUGAAAUGUGUGUUUUUUUUUUUCCUCUAUUUAGUUAAUAAUUUAUAUUUCAUUUUAUAGAACAUAAAAAUUAUUCUAAAAACACCAAAUUUGAAUCUUCACUACUAAAAGCGCAUCUAACCCUACAAGUCGUAUAACUAAAUUUAUGAAGUAAUGUAUUCUGAUUACAUUGCAACGUUUUAAUAGUUAAAAAAAAAGUUAAAAUCCAUUAUCAAUUAAAAAACUGUUUUCACUGAUUUUGAUUAUUUUCUAUAAUCACUUUCUAUAAUCAAAUUUUAUAAAAAUCUAAACCGAACUAGAACAAGGCCUAUAUACUGUUCAUUAUGACUCCAUAAAGUGAUCAACAAUUUAUUCAGCCAAUCAUCAAUGACAGUUCAGAUAACAUAAGAGCAAUUUAUGCAGUCAUUUUUUUGGAUAGAGUAUUAUUUGAAAUAUUAUUUGGAAUAAUUACUGUAGCACUUUUUGUUAUGUGAUGUAUGUGAGAUAAAAAGGUAAUUAGAAAUAUAAAAAGGUGGGUUGGAAAAUGUAUUUAUGAUACAAGCGAAAUAUUAUAUGAGAUAAUUGUGCUAUCCAAACACUUGUAUUAAAUAGAAAAAUGCAGCAAAAUGCUGUAGACUUAGCACAUGACACAUUUCAUAUCAUGUCAAAUUGAACGAUAGGCAUCACUUUAUUAACAAAUGAGGCAUAGUAAUGCAUAUUACCAAACCCUAUAACAAAGUCACAUAGCAUGUAUACAGUUAAGUAAAGAGUGAAACUUUGACCUAAAAGGGGAUGGGUAAGAUGGGUAAGAUAUUAGCAUUUUUAUAACAUAAAAGAUGCAAUUUAUAUGUCUAUUUUUCCAAUGACAUAAUCAUUUUGGACUUCAACUUUCGUACAAAAUAGUAGCAUACGGUAAAUGAAUAUUCAGAGAUGUGAAGGUCAAUGAACAUACCAUAAGUGAGACCACAGAAGUCUUUUUCUUCCUAGAUAUAUAAAAUCAAGCAAAAUUGGGACAAAAGAGACAAAGUUAAUAAAGGUCUCUUUUUUUUUUUUUUUUUUUUUUUUUUUUUUUUUUGUAGGCAACGCACCUCUUUUUUUUUUUUCAUAAAAUUUUAUUAUUUUAUAAAAAUUUCGGCAGAAUUUCCCCUUAUAAAAGGACGAAACUCCCUGCCAUCAAACCACAAUUUGACAAUAAAUAUACAAUAUAGCGAAGGAUUAAGCACUGAAAAUCUGAUACUAAGAUUAAAUCUUCCGUUGUCCAUAUUAGGAUGUCUUCCAGUGAAUCUGAAUGUUGAUCCUUGAAGCUCAGCGGUUAAUCUUGUCACUUUCACCUGCAUUGGUCUUUUUUGCUUCUUAUUCCCAUUCAUGCCAGACACCGUGUACGAAACGUAGGAAGUCCCAAUCGAUCUAAUCUAAUAGCCCCCCUGACCAAUAGUGGUAAAUCUGAAAAUGUAUUAAACACAUGACCUGCGCAAGCAUCAGCACCAAAAUUUGCCAGAUGAUCUGCCGGUGUGUUUGCUUCUCUGUAGCAGUGUGUGAUGGAUUGGAAAGACUGCUUGAAUAUCAUCAACUCAUCCAGAUCUCUCUGUAGACGCCAAGGACACGCACUAGUCCCUUGAACAAUCUGAACCAGGGUGAAAGAAUCUGCCUCUAAGUGUAACUCCAAGUACCCUCGAAUCACACAAUGUCUAACUCCCCAUAACAACGCUCGAAGUUCUGCUUGCAUGCUAGUUAUCACUCCGAAGGGCUCCGCGUAUCCAAAUACAAAAUUUCCUCGACUGUCUCGCACAAGUCCACCCCCCCCACUCCUUCCUGGGUUUCCCCGAGAGCAUCCAUCUGAGUUCAACUUAUAACCUCCACACGGAGUUACCCAAUAAACUGGCUUAAUAAUCAUCCGCCUUUGAUGACUACCCAACUCGAGAAGUAACCCUUCCCAUGUAGGAGCAGAACACUGCACCCCCGGGAACCGUGAUUGAAGAAAAUCAUGAAGAAGCUGAACAAUCCGAGUCACCGUAUCCCUUAUCCUCAUCUUCCGAUCUUCAAACACCCCUUCAUUCCUUAUUUUCCACAAAACCCAGCAUACUACCGAAGGAAGUAUAUUUUGUAAAAAUUUUACACGGUCAUUAGUUCCCCUCCUUACCCAACAAGACCACACCAUGUGACGUGUUGUAUGCACCCCACUAAAUUCACCAACAGUACUCUCGAAGUGACGCCAGACCGAUCGUGCCCCUUCUCCUGAGCAAAAUACAUGAUUCAAGGCCUCUUCCUGAGGGUUCUGACAACAGAAGCAUUUAGAUGGGCCAUAGACCCCAAACCUCUUUAGUCGAUCCAUAAGAGGGAGCCUCCCCUGUAGUAGUCGUAACAUAAAAAAAGAGAUCUUGACUGGAAGGCCUUGCUGCCAUAUACGGGCAAAAAGCCAAGAGGUGUCAUUGGAAUGACUGAUCAAUGAGUAAGCCGAUGCAGUGGAAAAAACACCCGAGUUCGUUAAUGUCCACACCAUUCUGUCAUUGCCCCUACCUGAAGGAGGAUCAAGCUCCAGAACCUGCCUAACCAGUUCUCCAUCUAAGAAUUGAUGGAGCAUGCCCACAUUCCAGACCCGUCGAUCUACAAAAUCAACCACGGAAUGAUCAUGGAAGACAUCCACCUUGUUGCAAAGCGCUCCUGACCCCAUCCAAUUGUCAUGCCAAAAAUCCAAAGCACCCUCACGAACUAUCCAAGUAAUAUUCUCCUCCCCAAAACGCUGCAUUGUGACCAUCCUCCUCCAAGCCUGGGAUCCCCGAUGACCAAUAUCAGCAAGACAAGGGUGCUGCCCUGCACAAUACUUUUGGAGCAUAAACUUUGCCCAUAAUGAUUGCUGUUGCCGGAAUUUCCACCAGAGUUUAAUGGAAAAUGAGUCGUAGACCUGCAUCAACCCCCGCAGGCCUACACCCCCUUCAUCCUUCGGCCGACACAGAUCUGCCCAACUGAUCCAAUGGUACUUGUUCCCCAAAUUCAAGGAUCCCCACAAGAACUUGGCAAACAAUUUCUCUAGGGCCAUCAACAUCCCUUUUGGAGGGGACGCGGCUGCCAGCAAAUGAAUUGGCAUAGAGGCUAACACGCUCUGAAUCAAUACCACCUUGCCCCCUGACGAUAAAAUCUGGUUCUUCCAAGACAAAAUGCGAUUCGCCACCGCAUUAUAUGUAUCCGUAUAGUAAAUCGUCUUACUCCUUCCGUCAUAUAAGGGACAACCAAGGUACCGUAUCGGAAAUACUCUUCUAUUAUAUCCCAAUACCUGGUUAACAACCGCUGUCCUCUGAGCUGGUGAGCGUGGAUGAGUAAGGAAACAACUCUUCUGAGGGUUGAGCCGCUGACCUGAUACCUCACUAUAAUCUUCCAGAACUCGUUUAAUCAAAUGUAGGGAUGACCUGCUGCCACUAGAAAAGAUAAUCACGUCAUCGGCGAAUGCCAAAUGCGUAAUUAUAGGACAAUGAGGAGGCACUUUAAACGGAGUAAAUCCUCUCUGUGUGGGUAGCUUGUUGAGGGCUCGAGACAACAACUCAGCUCCAAUAACGAAUAAGGCUGGUGAAAUGGGAUCUCCUUGCCGUAAACCCCGUGAAGAUUUGAAAAAGCCGUGUGAACCGCCAUUUACAAGCACCGAAAACCAAAUAUUCGAUAUUAAGCGCCAUAUCAUGUCUAUCCAAGUUUCACUGAACCCGAAAUACCGUAACACCUGUAGUAGAAAGGGCCAUGAGACUCUAUCAUAAGCCUUCAUCAUAUCUAACUUGAUGACCACGUUGCCACCCCGAUUUGAUUUUUUAAUAUCCGCUACUAACUCUUGGGCUAACAAGAAAUUAUCUGUAAUCUGCCUCCCUUGGACAAACCCACUUUGCUGUGGAGAUAUAAUCCGGGGUAAUAUUAUCGCCAAUCUUGUCGAUAAUAGUUUGGAAAUGAUUUUGUUAGUGAAGUUACAUAGACUGAUUGGCCGAAAUUGCUUGAAAUCUUGGGGGUUCUCCACUUUGGGUAACAACACAAUUGAAGUAGCCGUGAUACUCCUAGGUAGUUCAGCGCCGCAGAAAAAGCUGAUAACCGCACGGUAUAUAUCCAAAGCCACUACCUCCCAAGCAAAGGUAAAGAAUUUCCCUGUAAACCCGUCCGGCCCUGCUGUGCUCUCUCCCAAUAAAGGUCUCUUUCAUCUUUAAAGAAAGGAUAAUAUUGCAUCAUUUUUACCUCUAUUUACAGUUUGGUAAAUAAUGAACAUACAAACAUGGAUAUAAUCGUGGACUACAUUAACAUGUACACAUACAUGGAUAUAGUAAUUUUGGAUGAGCAACAUGACCAUUAGUCUAUUGUUUUUUAAAUAACGAGAAAAAAGAAAAGCAAAAAAAAUAGCAACAUUGUCACCAUUUCAUGACAAUUAUUUUCCCUUGUCUAAAGGGGACUAUCAAAGACAAUAAGAAAAACUUAGAGGUACGAAGUAUUACAUAUUUCCAUUUCAAUAGAACCCGCCAACAAACCAUUCUAGAGGUUACCUGUUUUCACAAUUUAUCUGCAAUAUUAGUCGCAAUUUAUUUCUUAACAAUUUCAUGAAUGCGUAAUUUAGUAUCUUUUUGUCCUUGAACUUUGUAAAGCCCAAAUUUAAGUAAUUAUAGAAAGACACGGACUAAUAUUCAGGUUUUUUUUCCAAGCGGGGGCAUGGGAUUUAAGAAGUUGAAGAGGGUAGAGGGAUUUGAAUUCAAGAGGUCUAAUUUUUAAGGCUUUAACGAGACUAAUAUUCUAGUUAUUAUUUCUUAGAUUAACUUUUUAUGCACUAACAAUGUGGUAAUUUUUUUAUAAAAGUAGUUAUGGAUACAUGUUUUUUUUCAAAAGAAAAGCUUUAUUUGAUAGAAUAUGAAGAGGUCAUACAUGAGAAACCAAAUCAGAAUAACCUGAACACUAACUUAUCUUUCUACACCCUAACCCUGCGCAAACUUGGAAUACCUGACCGAUCCAGAACGACGUCUCCUCUCACCAGGCGGGGCAAGUCACCGAAUGAUUCAUGCGCAUAAUUUGAGUUCUAAAUUUGAAUUGAUACUAUGUGAUAUGAUCUAACCUUUCUUGUGUAAAAAAAAAAAAAAUCAUUCACUGACAGUGUAUAAAAAAAAUAUUUUUAUUUCUUCAUUUUUUUAUUCGGUAAUUUGUAAAGUAAACCAUAUGUCUCACAUGCUGUUCGUAAUUUAAGGUUGCUUAAACCCAAAUGAAGAAGUUAGAAAAGAGAAGAAAGAGAAUACUUAUUAUUGCAGGUAUCUUAUUUUUCACAAAAUAAAAGGUUACAAGUAUCCGAUUCAAAUACGAUAUGCUUGUGGUUUGGAAAACUUUUUGACACGAACCCCAUCGAAAACAAAACACGUAUUUCACAAGCCCAGGACCUAGACGAUUAAUACCAAUGGUUUGGCAGCAAAAAGCUUGACUCUAAUUAAUUCUAGAAGUCAUGAACAUGUUGAUAUAAUCUCAACCCAUAAUUAAUCGAAUUAACGAACCAAAGUUGCAAGGUAGAAGAACGCCACAACCAAGGUAUAUAUUUGAUUGAUAAGUUCGAUUGAAUACUCUCAAGACAUUCUCAAGUAUUCAAGAAAGGUUCUUUUGGACAGGAAAAAAAGUGAUAACUCACAUAAUUUCUACAAAAUUCUGAUUAUUCAAUAAAUGUUGAAAGAAUAGGCUAUUUAUAGUCUUACAAUGACUCAAACCAUAAUACUAUUUGGACUUGACUAAACCCUAAAACUAAUAACUAGAAUUUCGGCUAAAUAAAGACAAUGCUGGUUGAAUUAUUAAGCUAAAAAUAGCAACUAAAACAGCAAGAUAAAUAACAAAUAAACCCUUGCUUAACAACCCUAAACAAAUGACUUCAAUAGCUACAAAAAAUUACUAAUGAAACUACUCUUCAUUUGACUCAAUAAGCUAAAGCAAAGUAACCAAUGCGACUUGUACAGAUUGGAGCCGAUUAAAGCUUGUUAAGCAUGAUUAGCGUGUGAAGAUUUAGUAGCCCAAAAUCCUUAUGGAUUUGGAAGGGAACCAGUUCUUCAUGGUUGCAUCAUUCCCCUCCUCUUGAAAGCGAUUUGUCCACAAAUCGACGGUGUGCUUAGAGGACAGCAACAUUGGAAAUAGAUAAAGAAUCACGAGCCAAGCUAUAUUCCGUUUGGUUUGCCUCAAGUUGCUUUCAAACAAAGACAUUCGCUAAGAUAAGAACUAGCUUGUGUAUAACUUGUAGGAAUUCUAGGUUGCACUCCAUAACUCUCUAGUCAGCCUUUUGUCAUGAAAUGUCAAAGUUGGACUGAAACUAGAAAAAUCCCGAAUCUGAUUGUGCAAAGUGGUAUAAUUCAUCACUAGUUGUUGCUGGUUUGGCACAACUUGCACAUCUGGAGAUAGAACAAUGAACCAAUCUUGUUGCAUAUCCGUAGAAGCAUGAAUCAACAAGGUAAGAACAACAUUCGGAUCUUGAUUGACACACAUGUUCACAUCUUCCAAUAUACGAGGCAGCAAUCGAUUGAAUUCCACUCCAUACGAAUCACAUGAACUUGCACAAGUUGAAGUUGGUAAAAUGAACUCGUGGUGACCAGCUUUUGAAUGUGUGAAUACGCAUGAAAAAUCACAACAUGCAGCUGGAACAAGGAUGAAAUCAGGUUGCAACUCUUUAAUCAAAGCUAGAAAAUUUUGGAUAGCUUUACAACCUACAAAAACAAAAUAAAUCUCAACUUGAUUUGAACCAGAAAUUGGAUAAUAAGCAAUGGAACAUCAAUAGUUAAGUGGUAAGAAGGUAUAGAACAAGAGUUAAAUGCAAAAACUCCCUUUGACACUUCAUUAUUCCUUCCACCAAUCGAUUCAACUUGAGAAUUCAUUGCUGGCUCUUUAAUCUGCAUAAGAAAUAUAGGUGUUAGGACAGAAAUUAUACUUAAAAGAAGGUAAAGAUGAUGAAUGAACCAUAGGUAGUAAACGAGAAUCAAGAUCUGGAAUUCUCCCUUCAUGAUGAGUUUGAAUUAAUUCUCCAUGGUGCGGAUAGAUUUGAAUUGAAAUUGUUCCAUGAAGUGAUACCAAAUAGAUUUAUCUCUUAGAAGACAAACUCCAUGGAAAAUAGUGAAUUGUACAUGUGACUUUGGAAUGGGACAUUGCAUGACUAACUUCACUUGACUUUGCUUAAUCUGUACGAAAGAAAAAACACUAAACACAGCAAAGGUAAGUUGGUUAGGAAAACAAUAAGCUCUCACAUUCUCACUCAGAAUUAGCUCACUUGAUUUAACUCUCAUCUCAUCAGAAUUUUUCAUCUCUUUUUCUAGCUCAAUUCCUUCAAAUUUUACCACUAUGGUCGAAGCACUCAUGGAUCUUUCCUCAUGCGAUUCCUCAACUUUUACCUCACGCUUCUCACUAACAACUUCAUCUUCCCACUUUGCAGCUUCUAUUACGAUUUCCUCAAACUUGAUUCUUUCAACUUGCCUUUUCUUUUGUUUUUCUUGAAGCAACCGUUGGUAAAUAUCCCAUAUUUCAUCCAUGGAUGGUGUAUUGACAUGCUUAGACUUGGAAGAAAUUGAUGUAGUAGGCUCCUUUUCCCUCUUGAGUGGUCUUUUCUCCUUUAGUUCACCAUAUGUUGACCCAAUGCAAGGACUCUUAAGCUCCACAGCUCCGCGAUGGUCAUUAGACCUUUCAAUUGCACAAGCUGACUUGGUUGAUGAUGAACUCCUUUUAGAUGUUUGGCAUGUCCUCUUUUGGUUUUCCAUAUAGUCGUCACAAGUGCUCUUGUAUCUCUCAUAAGCUCGUAGUACACGAUCACGAUCCAUCUCUUUCUUGAGGGUACAAAACUCAUGGUUUGACACUUUAGCAUGGCUAGAUUGAAUGGAACCCCUCCUCUUGAGAGAUUUGUUCUCAAUUCUAUCAAGUUUUUUAUGCAUAAGUUGGACUGAUUUGCCUAACCUCCGUUCAAGGUCCCCCAAUAUGGAUUCCAACAUAAGUGUAGCAUCGAUGGUGUAAACUUCCAUUGGUGGACAUCCUUAACCUGCAAAAAGGUUAGCAAAGAAACAAAGGAAAGUUUCCUCACAACAUACCCUCACAUGUAUGCACUCGCACUCGUGUAUCGCUCAAGUGUUUAAACACUCUAAUGAUCUCACCAAUCACUUCUCAAGUCAUUUGAUUACCUCUCUUGAAGAAAUCAGAAUUUCUCAAUGAGAUUCAAUCAAACUUUCACCAAGAAAUCAGCAAGAAUGUGGCGUUCGAAAGCUGGAAAUUUGAGGUAUUAUGAAGGAAUAUAAUGACUCAAAAAGGACUCUAAAAUACGCUGAAAAUUCCCAGAAUUAUUUGCUGCAAAAACACCUAACGACUUUGGAAAGUAGAGAAUUGACACUAGACGCUAUUAGGAAACUAACAACGAAUUGAUAACCAAGACUGAUUUUGCUUACUUGAACUAGUUAAAUCUGGAUAUAAACUGGAAAGAAGGGACUCAAAACAUAGAUUUAUAUGGCUGGACAUGACACGGAUUUAAGCAGAAAUUUUGGAUCCUAGAAAUUUACUCUACUCGUAUGUAUGUGCGGCUGAAGUUUGGAAACUUGCUUGGCCGACGAGGUCUAGAAAUUUGUUUUGGGAAGCUUGAGUUCACUCUUGGAAAGCAAGAUGUGGUUUUCAAUAGCUUUCCUAAGUGUGUGUUGGAUGGCUAAACAUAAACCAGAUUGGUCAAGAAGUUACGUGACCAGAAUUGGUAACACUCCAAUUCCAAUUUGGUUUCCUAUUUGCAGCUACUUCUUGAUUUCUUGAUCCGUUUCCUUUUCUUUUCUUUUCUUUCUUUCUUUUUCCUUUUUUUACACGGAUCAGAUUUCCUUUUUUUUUCAAGCUGAUCAUUUGAAAUACAAUAGCCACAAAACUUUCAACAACCGCAAGUUCUCAACUUUCAAGAAGAUGAACUAGGGUUCAAGAAUUAGAAAGUUGGUUUCAAGAUUUUCAAGAACCCAAGAAAUUCAAGGUUUAUUGCUGGAAUUUAGUCCAAGAACUCAAGAAAUUCAAGAUUUUGUCCAGAAUUCAAGAGUUUUCAAACGUUUUUCCCAAGAACAACAAGGUCAGCCACGAAUUCACCAAAACUAGUAAAACAGCCACCAAAACUAACGACCGGUUUUUUUUCCCCUCUAAAACGAUUUCAAGACUCACGAAACAAGACCACAAGACACCAACAAGAUAAAAAAUCAUGAUGCAAACAAGAAUGAGAAUUCGGGUAGCCAAGAAAACACACGAACAGCAAGCAAAAAAUGCGACAGCAAGGCAUAGCAAGAAACGCUAUUGACUCAAUUUUUUUUUGACACAAGAAUCUAAAUUGGAAAACAAGAAAAAGCUGACUCAAACACAAUAGAAAAAAAGGGAUAUAACCUGGUAUUGUCAACCAACUCUGAUGCCAGAUGAUACGAAUCUCGUCGAAGAUGAAACCCGUAUUUUACAAGCCCCAGACCUAGACGAUUAAUACCAAUGGUCUGGCAGCAGAAAACUUGACUCUAAUUAAUUCUAAAAGUCACAAACAUGUUGAUAUAAUCUCAACCCGUAACUAAUCGAAUUAACGAACCAAAGUUGCAAGGUAGAAGAAUGCCACAAGCAAGGUAUAUACUUGAUUGAUAAGUUCGAUUGAAUACUCUCAAGACAUUCUCAAGUAUUCAUGAAAGGUUCUUUUGGACAAAGAAAAAGUGAUAACUCGCAUAAUUUCUACAAAAUUCUGAUUAUUCAAUAAAUGUUGAAAGACUAUUUAUAGCCUUACAAUGACUCAAACCGUAAUGCUAUUUGGACUUGACUAAACCCUAAAACUAAUAACCAGAAUUUCGGCUAAACAAAAACAAUGCUGGCUGAAUUAUUAAGCUGAAAAUUAACAACUAAAAUAGCAAGAUAAAUGACAAAUAAACCCUUGCUUAACAACCCUAAACAAACGAAUUCAAUAGCUACGAAAAAUUACUAAUGAAACUACUCUUCAUUUGACUCAAUAAGCUGAAGCAAAGUAACCAAUGCGACUUGGACAAAUUGGAGUCAAUUAAAGCUUGUUAAGCAUGAUCAGCUUGUGAAGAUUAAAUCACCCAAAAUCUUUUUGGAUUUGGAAGGGAACUGGUUCUUCGUGUUUGCAUCACUUUUGGCCAACAUAAUAAGUUUUUAAUUUCUUUUACAAACGAAAAUGUCAUAGUUGAGUUGUUUGAAUUGCUAUUUUCUGGAGUUUUUGUAGAAAAAUGUAUUGCAGCGAUUUGAUUUAUGUGAGGUAGAAAAUGAUUAAGAAAAGUAUUUACAAAAAACAUAAACAUUUUUCUGCAAAAAAUCUCAAUCCAAACAAGGUUGUGAGCCUAGACUUUGUAGAAAUGUCUAAGUUGAGCCAAAGUUUUUGGAUUGUGACUUCUCGAUUUUGUACUAAGUUUUGAAAAUUCCUUUCCAUGAAACACUUUAAAAAAAUUCUCAUUCUUUGAUCCUUCUAUAUUUCCUCAAAUGCUCUUUGGUUGCGUUUGGCAUGAGAGAUUUGACAAAAUAUCUGAAAUUCUCUCAAAUUCCUCUAAUUGUUUAGGCUACUUAAGAGAUAUUUAAAUUUGUAAAUCACCCAUUAUUAUAGUUUUAAAAUAUAUUUAGAUAAUUGAUAAAAUACAAACCUAAAUGACUCUUAAACAACUGGAGUGAUUUAGAUCAAUUUCAAACUUUUGAUCAAAAUUCUCAAUAAAAACGAAUGUAUUUGAGCCAUCAAAAAAUGUAAAGAGCCUUUGCAAGAUAAUUUUCGACUUAGAGGUCAACGUGAUGUAUAUAAAUCAAAGAAUGCUUAAGACAAUCAGGCUAAGAGGAAAAAGAGAUUAGCACCAUUACCCCCACUGAAUUUCUAACCACAAGUUGGGUAGUUGUAAACAUAUUUACAAUUGGUUUUUAAUAACUUUCAAAGACGUAAAACGUCCAAGUUACUGCCAGAAUUUUGCAUUGCUAUCGCCCGACUUUGUACCAAUGCCAAGUUGAGUCUAAUUAAUUGGAUUGUGACUCUCGAAUUGUGUAUUAAGCAGUGGAGAGUGUUGGAACAAUGACCAGAAAACUAACAAGAAAAAGGCUUCAAAUCGUGACUGCAAACCACUGUCUUUAAAACUUUAUUCGUCCACUAUAUUGUGCAAAAGAUUAAGGACGAAUAUCCUCUAGGAUAAGAUGAAAUUUGGUUGCAAACUUUGCACUAAGUUGUUACAACCCCCAAAGAACAAAGAAGAGAAGAGUAGAAAUUUUUCUAGAGUUUGUAAGUCUUUUUUGUCUGUAGUGAAAAAAUCACAAAUUGAUCCAUAUAUAGAAUGUCAUAUCCCUUAGAUGGUUAUUGAAUGGUAGAAACUUGUAUGGAGAUGCAUCCCUUCAAAUGAUGCUUGUAUCAUUUGAAACUUGAAAGGUUGCAAGCAAAAUUGUAGAAAGCUGCUAGGUGUGACCUUUGAAAUUUUCAAUAUUUGAAAAUUUCUUCAACAAUCCCCUGCCAUUUUCAAUAUAUUGAAAAUUUCUUUAUGGAUCACUAAAAAGUUUUGAUAAUCUAUGUAUAAAUAGUGGUAUCUUUCGAUCGAACCACCAUCUUAGUAUUAAUUGAUUAUAAUCUGUUAAUACUACUUGGCAUACAAGUUUUGAACCAAGAGUAUAUGCAACAAGCUACAUAAAUUAACACACACAGAUUCAUUUUUCUUCAAUUUGUUUAUACAAGUGAUAUAUUAGGUCUUAUAUCCCUACCAUUUCAUGAAUGUAUUUAAAGUUAAGUCCAAAAUUUUGUGGAUACCAUCAAUCCAACAUUCAUUUAGGCAAGCUCUUAACGCCCCUGCCAUUUGUAGCAUUUUACAAAACUUGUUAAGAAUUCUAAGUUCAACCUUCCAAUUUCAAGUAGGAAGAAUCACACUACACCUUCUUGGAUAUUUUGUAGUGUUCAAACCACUAUAUCAAUGUACUUUUACUCAUUGAAUUCAAGGCUUGUUGUUAUAACUAGCGUUGAAUCAAGGUUCCAUUAUUAGUGAUUCAUGGAUUGGACUUCAAUCCCAUCCCUUUAGAUGUGUUAACCACCACUUCCUUUGUUAAUCCUUUGGUUAAAGGAUCAACUGGGUUCUCUUUUGAUCUUACAAAAUCUAUGGUUAUCAUACCAUUCGUGAUCAAAUCUCUUAAUAGACGAUCCCUUAAUCCAACAUGUCUAGAUUUGUCAUUGUACACUUGGCUAUAAGCUUUAGCAAGAGUAGCAGCACUAUCACAAUGUAUGGAGAUUGAUGAAAUUGGUUUUGGCCACAUUGGUAUCUCAUGUAGCAAAUUUCAUAACUAACUGGCUUCUUUGCUAGCUAAAGCUAAGCCUAUAAAUUCAGCUGCCAUGGUGGGGUCGGUUAUGCAUAUUUGCUUCUUGGAUGCCCAAGAAAUUGCUCCUCCAACUAAUAUAAAGACCCAACCACUCGUAGAAGAAUGAUCAUCUUUAUUUGUUAUCCAACUAGCAUCCGAAUAACCUUCUAAUACUGAAGGAUAACUACUACAGCAAAUGCCAUAGUAUGUUUUAGAUAACUCAAGACUCUAGUUGCACUUAACCAAUGCUGUUUGCCUGGAUUGCUUGUGUAUCUACUUAACAUGCCUAUAACAAAAGCUAUAUCUGGACUUGUACACGUCAUUGCAUACAUCAAACAUCCAAUCACUUUGCCAUAAUCUAAUUGAGACAUGAGAUCACCAAUAUGUUUAACAAAGUCAAUAUUCGGAUCGAUGGGAGUUAAGGCAGGUUUGCAAUCUUGAUGAUUGAAACGACUCUCUCUUAAUUCUUAUUCAUAGGAUAACAUCGGCCUCUCCCAUGUCCUUCAUUUCAAACUUGCAUGAUAGCAACUUUUUGGUCUCAUUGACUAGCUUGUUCUAAUUCAGUACCAAUGAUUAAUGUAUCAUCCACAUACAAGUAUAAGGGUAUUAGGUGUCGAUCCCACAGAGAAUAUUGCAAUUACCAGUGUUUUUCGAACUCCUUUAUUAUCUAGACUACCAUAAACAUAAAAGUAAUGAAAAUUAGCAAUAGAAAGCUCCUAGAGAUAUGGAAUUCCUUACUACUCUUGCAAAUGAGAUUACCAGUUAAAUGAAUGCUAUUAUCUUGGCUAGUUAUGACGUAAUUUCCUAAUGUAUGUGAAACCUACUUUCGUAAUGAAUCAACUAUACUUGUAACUAAGCCAUACCUACUCUCGUUGUUAUGAAAUCAACUUCAAGUUCAUUCCUUCUAUAAAAUUACAUGAAACAAGUCACUUAAGCCACAAAUGUGCUCCUCUACUCUCGCGAGUGAACUCCCUAGGUUUAUCACUUCCUUGAACUAAUGUUAAAUUCCAAUUCUCAUUGCAAACUUAACAUCUUUAGAUAAUCACAACUAAUAGCUGGUUAAUCAUGAUUAGAAAAGCAAAAGUGAUAAAUAACUUGCUCAAAAUAAUAUCAUCACAUACCAAAUAAACAUCACUUAACAAGAUAUUGCAAAUUCAUCCAUAACUCUAGGCAUAAACUUUAACUAAACAUGUUAAAAACACAAAUCCAAACUUGUAUUAUAGCUAAACAUGAAAUCUAAUACAAGAGAGAAAGUAGUAGAAGAGAUAUCACCCUUGUCACAUGAGAUCAACCUCUCCAUCUUUGCUCCUCAAUCUUCAUCCAAAUCUAGCUACAAAUACAAAAAAGAUAAACUACUCUACCUAUACUAUACUAAUGAACUAAGAAAAACUAGUGAAGACUACAUUUUUGGUGAGUUUCUCUAACCUUCCAAAGUUAUGCAAAUGUUCUCCAAAGCCUCUAUUUAUAGAGGAAUUCAAGAGUCAAAUGAGUUGUUAAAGUUGUCAUUUUUGACUCUUGAAUCUUCCAUGAGUUGUCUUUCCAACUUUCCAACCUUUUCUUGAUCAGAUACAACCGAGAUUGAUAGCUGGAAUUGAGUUGGAAAAGUUGUGUGAAAGCAAGGCAAGUUGAUGAGCAAGUUACAGAAAAUAGGUGAGAAUACGCGACUGUAACCCAUGUUUUCAUUGAGUCGCAUUUUCACUUCUGCACUACUUCAACUACUAUUUUCUUGAUGAGCAAGUUGUAGCUCUUUGAGUUAGCUUUCCAAUACCUCAAGAAUCAUCCAAUUUGUAGUUCUGUGAAGAUAUGACCAAAAUACCAAAGACUAGUCAGAGAGCUCUGUUCCAGCUUACGACCACAGAAUUUUCUCUUCUGUAUUCCAACUUUUGGACAAGGAAAACAACUGAUCUGGACUUUGAUGUCUGCAUACCAAAUGUAGAUCUAUCUCUUAGCUUCAAAAUGGUUCAAGAAUCACCUCAAUCAGAUCCUUGUAUCUCAAGAUAUAACCGAAAUACCACAAGGUGUCAAAACUGUGAAACUUGCUUUCUUUUGUUCUUGCUUGCAUUUCCUCUUUUGCAUUUCAUAUCUUCUUUUUAUCACUUUAAAUCAUCAUCAAUCAACCAAUUAUCUUGUCAAAUCUCUUCCUUUGAUGAUUGAAUCCUUAAACCUACAAAAACAUGAAGUUUUUGCCGUAAAAGUUCAUAGAAAUGCAAUUUUCACACUUUAAACCAUAAAAUGCAUAUUUUCACUAGAAUUUUAGUUUAUUAGCUAUAAAACUAAUUAAAAUACACCAAAACUAACUAAUAAAACAUACUUAAAACACGUAAAAUAUCUACUUGUCAAAGCUAUCUUUAGGUGAUUCAUUCUGGUUUAGCACGUUGUUAAUUUCUUUAGACAUUGAGGUGAAUCUUUUCUCAUAGGCUCUAUUACCAUGAAUCUAUAGGCCUUGCUAUUUUGUGCAUAUUCUAAGAAAAUGCACUCAACACCUCUUUCACCUAAUUCCUUUUUUUAGAUUCAGGAACUUUGACAAUGGCUCUACAGCCCAAACUCUCAAAUGUUUGAGAUUCAAAUUUCAUUUGGACCAAAGUUCAUAAGGAGUUAUAGAGCUCCUUUUGUUCGAAACUCUAUUUAACAUGUAAAAAGCUGUAAAUACAACUUCUCCCCAAAAACCUUGACUUAAACCAGAAUUUGAUAGCAUUGCAUUCACCAUUUCCAUAAGUACUUUAUUUUUCCUUUCAGCCACACUAUUUUGUUGAGGUGUGUAUGGAGCGGUAACUGCAUGUUUAAUACCACUGGACUCAAAAAAUUCCUUUUGAUAGUAUUCACCACCUCGGUCAGUUCUUAAACAUUUAAUUAAAUUGCCACAUAAAAGUUCCACUUCUUCUUUGUAUAUCUUAAACAUAUGCAUGACUUCAUUUUUUGAAUGUAACAAAUAUACAAAACAAAAUCUAGUGCAAUCAUAAAAAAAGGUGGCAAAAUACUUGUUUCCCUCUAAAGAUAUGGUACCAUACAAAUCACAAAUAUUACAAUGAACAAGAUCUAACUCGUUUGUUUUCCUUUCAAUCUUUGGAAAUGGAUUUCUAGUUAUUUUUGUUAACAAGCAAGUUCUAUAUUUACCAUCCUUCUUUUGGACACUUUUAGGCAACAAAUCAAGUUUGAUCAUAUCAUGUAUCCUUCUAUAAUUAACAAGUUCAAGCCUAUUAUGCCAAAAAGUGGUAGUAGACUCACGCAUAUAAGCAAAAGAAAUAUUCGUAUUCAUCUUAUUAAUAGGCAUAACAUUUAGUUUGAACAUGCUGUUACAUAGAUAGCUCUUGCCUACAAAUAUACCACCUUUGGACUGUACAAAUUUAUCAAUCUCAAACACAAGUUUAAAUCCAAACUUAUUCAUCAAAUUACCCGAAACUAGAUUCUUUCUUACUUUUGGAAGAAAAAGUAUAUUUGUAAGAGUUACAACAUGUUCGGAUGUAAACUUUAAAUCUACUUCCCCAACCCUUUUAAUAGGAGCAGUCGUGGCAUUACCCAUGUAUACUAUAGAUUAUUCAUCAUCCAUUUCUUUCAAAGACUUGAAGAAGUCCUUGUUCUUGCAUACAUGGCGGGUAGCACCAAAAUCAAUCCACCGAGAAAAAUCUUCCUCAACUAUGUUGAGUUCAGAAAUCAUAGCCACAAGAUUCUUGACUUCAUUUUUUGAAGAAUCAGGGUUCUCCAACUUCUUCUUUUUGAGAAGUUUGCAUUCAUAUUUGUAAUGCCCUUCCUUCUUGCAAUGGUAGCAUUUCCCCUUUUUCUUCCUUUUCUUGUUCUUGUUAGAUUGACUCUUUGAUUGAUUGGAUUUCUUGUUAUCCUUGGACUUGCUUGUUUGUCCCUCUUCAACCAUGUUCACUUUGGAAGGCGGAUUUGCAUCCUUUUCUUCCUCCUUCGGUUGAACAUCUUUGUUCUCUUGCAUUCUAAACUCUUCAUCAACACAAAAAAGAGUUAGCAAAACUUUCAAGAGUGAUUUCUUUCUUUUUGUGCUUGAGAUCUCUCUUGAAAUCCUUCCAAGAGGGUGGUAGUUUAUCAAUUAUAGAACUAACAACAAUUGUCUUAUCCAUGAAAACAUAUUGUGUUGAGAAAAAUGAUUAAACAUCUUUUCAAGUUCAGCAAAUUGAUCCAUAACAGGCCUCUUGUCUAUCAUUUUAUAGUUAAAGAAACUAGAGACAAGAAAUUUCUUACUUGUUGCAUCUUCUCUCAUGUACCUUGCUUCUAACUUGUCCCAAAGUUCCUUGGCUAUUGUCAUCGAAUGAUAGACAUCAAAAAGGUCAUCACUCAUUGCAUUGAGAAUGUGUCCCCUACAAAUCUCAUCAUCCAUGUCCCAUUUUUGCUUAUGGCAGAUGUCAUCCAAUGUCUCUUCUUCAUCAUUUGUUGCAGCCCUUGGAGUAGUGAGAACAUACACCACUUUGAGGGCCACAAAAAAGAAAUGUACUCGCUUCUUUCAACGAAUGAAAUUCCUUCCAUCAAAACGAUCAAGUUUAACAAUAUUGGAAGCCAAAUCUUUUAUAGUGCUUGCCAUUUCAAGGGAGGAAUAAAGCCUUAAGAUUGUUGGAACAACAACAAAGAGAAUACUAUGAAAUGGCUGGAAAACUAACAAGAAAAAGGCUUCAAAUCAUGACUACAAAUCACUUUUCUUAAGGCUUUAUUCGUCCACUAUAUUGUGCAAAAGAUCAAGGACGAAUAUUCUUUAGGGUAAAAUGAAGUUUGAUUGCAAAUCUUUGCACUAAGUUGUUACAAUCUCCAAAGAACAAAGAAGAGAAGAGCAGAAAGUUUUCUAGAAUUUGUAGGUCUUUUUUGUCUACAGCAAAAAGACCACAAAUGGUCCAUAUAUAGAAUUUCAUAUCCCUUAAACGGUUAUUGAACGGUAGAAACUUGAAUGGAGAUGCAUCCCUUCAAAUGGCGGUUGAAUCAUUUGAAACUUGAAAGGUUGCAAGCAAAAUUUGUAGAAAGCUACUAGGUGUGGCCUUUGAAAUUUUCAAUAUUUAAAAAUUUCUUCGACAGGGAGGGAAGGGGCCCCACCCCCAAAAGUUUUAGAAAAUUCAGUUUUCAUUCCUUGUAAAACCUAGAAAUUUUUAGAACAUUCUUUAUAGAUUUAAAUUUUUGCCCCCACAAAACUUAAAAAUAUUUUAUGCUAUACAUAUAAGUUUAGAUAAAUUCAAAUUCGCCCCCUUAAGAUGAAUUUUCUGGUUCUGUCUAUGGCAGUAAGUUCAUUAAACAUUCAAGUUAACAAUGUUGUUCUAAAAUGUCAUCCCCCCAACCAAAUAAAAAGUACAUUUCAUUCUUGCUCCUUAAUUGUUCUUGCCGGCUUGCGGGAAAUAUAUAUCAAGUGCAUUUCUACCUAGGGCGUAUUCUAGCCUUAUCGAACUCAUUCUAUUGAAACAUAACGUAAAAAGCUCUCCUUCUCACCUUGCAUUUUCCUGCUAAUGCGAAAAUAUAACAUGGUGAAACUUACUCGCCCACAAAAAGAAUAAAGAAAUAAAAUGGAAAAACUGUAAAUAUAGCAAUCAACUUGACUCCAUAAAAAAGAUGGAAAUUUUAUUCAAGCAAUAUGACAAAAGCAACAAGAAAAAAUUGAGAAACAAGAUGCUAUUUCUGAGUACAUGAUACACUCCAUAAUAUGUCAAAAUUGAACGCUAGGUAUAACUUUAUCCUUAAACAAUGCAUGGUAAAAUAGAUUAAGAAAUAUUGUCCUGCCCCUUUUUAAAUUAAACCAUGAUGUUUCAUUGUAUAAAGCUUUUCAAUAUAUGUCAUUUAGGUUUUUUCAACGUAUAGUUAAUCAUGACUUAUAUUGCACGCAGACUACAUUUAGGUUCCCUUUUUCAUAUCAUUGAUUUUUUAAGCUUUCCUAUUUCAUUUUGAAUUUUUUUUGAGUUACAUUAAACAGGGAUAUCUGCUUAAAAAUGAAAAUAUGAACAAAAAUAGGUCAGUUUAAAAUUAGCAAUCUUAUAACAUAGAGAUGCAAUUCACCUAUUUAGCCAAUAACUUAACCGCUUGACUUCAACUCCAAUACCAAAUCGUAUCUUUACCCGAGAUGAAAAUCCAGGUAUGUGCAAGUCAAUAUGAUUACCAAAUAAGGGAAACCAAAGAAGUCUUUUCCAUCCUAGAUUGGUGAAAUCAGGCAAAAUUUGGGAAAAAAAAGGCGAUUUACACUUAAUAAAAAUCUCUUUUUCAUAUUUACAAAAAUGUAAUAUUUCAUCAUUUUUAGCUUUAUUAUUUACGCUUUGUUUAAUGAUGAACAAGAGGAGUGAAUAAACAGAAUAGACAGCAGUACCAUAUGUAUAUUACAUUGCAUGGAUAUAAAGUUGAAUGAGCACAAAAAGAACAAAAGAAAAAAAUAGAAAGAGCACCAUUAUUGCUCUUUCUACAUAAUUAUUUUCCCUUGUCUUCAAAAAAAAGGGCUAUGGAAGGCAAUAAAAGGAAUUGUAGGUGUGAAGAAUGACAUAUUUUUACAUUUCAACAUAUUUUCCUUGUCUUCAAAAUGAGGAUUAAUACUCAACUAGUUUUGAAAAAGUAGCUUUUUAUUUUCUUUCAGAUACGUAAAUGUCCAAGUUAAUCCCAGAUUUUGGAUUGCAAGAUCCUGGUUUUGUAGAAAUGUCCAAGUUGAGCCUAAAUUAUUGGAGUGUGGCUCCCGCAUUUUAUAGCAAGUUUUGGGAAUUCCUUUCCAGGAGAAGCUAAAGUUGACAAGGCUAUUCAGAAAUGACGUUUAUCCAUAUAAAAUUGAAUAAAUAAAAGACAUCUCAUUCUUGAUCCUUAACUAUAGAUGCUGGAUUUACAAUCAGUUGAUAUUUUCUGUACGCACCGGAAAAGAACUAGAAUUCCAUUUUAAACUUUUUUUUUUGGGGCAGUGUCCACUUCAAGCUUUGAUUUUUUUUUUUCCUCAACAAUUUUUUGUGUAUUUGAGCCUUGAAAGUAAGUAAGAGCCUUUUAGAGAUAAUAUUAAACUUGUUCACUAGAUUAGCAGGAAACUGCUCAGAUAAGUGCUUUGUAAACAACAUAAUUAGAGUGAGAACAAAAUCGCCAAACAUGCUUUUGUCAAGUUUUAAUGAUCUAUGACACUAAAAUAAAUCCUUUAAUUAAAACGAACUGCAUGUAAUUAAGCAUUCUCCUAGAGCUAAUUUCCUGUAAAACCACGCUCAUCUUGUUGGAUUUUUAUGAGAAUUUGGCAGAGUUGACAUUCUUUGUGAAUUUGAAAGGUCAAAGAUGUUGGCAUAUUAAACCAAUACAAUUCUAGAAGUUUACGUACACCUUUGUAUCAAGUUUUGUUCAGGAUAAGCUUUUUGUGGUUUUCUUAAUUUAUUAUCUGGUGUUAAUUAUUGCAUUAGGAAGAUUCUAGUGUUAUUUGUGUCUUCAACAAGUUUUCUAGAGUACUUUGGUAAUGUAGUUAGUUGGCAAGAACGAAGUAUUGAGUCUUGCUUUUGUUGUUUAAUUAAAAACAAGCUGAUUUUAUUCUUCUUAUUGCACAGAUAUUUUAAGUGUAUAAUAUAGCCUACCCUUACAUGUUGCAAUGUGUUAAAUUCAUCUCCUGGCUUGUAUAGUUUUUUAGUUUCUGCAAAAGUGACUGGCUUCUACAUUAACCAUAUUCUUGUCCUCUUUUAAAUGAAAUCUCUUACUUGAAAAGUUGCAUAGAAGGUCUCAAAAGGAACUACAGGAUUAACAAUUUUUCUCCAUUUUUUCAUUUUAUAACCUUGUGCUCAGCAUUGUGUGAUUUGUAAUAUUGUGAUAGCCCCGUUAACCUUAUAACCGUAGUAUUUGAAAUUGCAAAUAUAUAAAACAGGAAAGGUGAGAAAGUAUGAAUCUCUAGUAAGACCAUUCAACAUUAAACAAAUUACGUACUCUAUUCACUAAACCUAUUUCUAAGCUCAUAUUCCUACCAAAUUUGAGUUACGAUUGUUGUACUGACUUGAUAUAUUUUGAAGGGAUAAUUUUAGAAACCUCCCUUGAGAUUUUUGACAAUUUUACUGAGCUCUUCUGAGAUUUGAAAAAUUAUACCUAUCUCCCUUGAUUUGAUAGGUUUAGUAACAAAACCUUAAAAUAAUAUUGACUUGGUCAAAUUUUUAAAUGAAUAUCCAAAAGUGCCCUUGUGUACUGAGUUUUAAUUUAUUUCCCUAUACAAUUAUAAGAUUAUCUAGUGUAAUUACAAGGAAAAGGUGCCAAAAUUUUCAUGUCCAUACAUACUAUUUGAUAAACAAUUAUAAUAAUAAUUUUAUCACUAUGAUACGAUACUUUUGAUGGUAUUUUAUUAUGGAUUUAUAUUUAUAAGAUAGAAAAGAAAAUGUUGAUAUAAUUGAUUUAGAGUUUAUGAAUUUUUUGAAUAGUGAGAUUAUCAUAAUUUAGUAGUGGUUUUGGGCUAUUUCUUUUUUAUUUAUUUUUAAUUUUAAUACCAAAAAAUAGAAACAAGUAUUAGCAAAAAAUAUUGGAUUACAUAUAAAGUUAACUCAUAAAAAAAACACUAGUUUGACAUUUGGUUACAAUAGAAACUAGAGGUAAUAGUGGUAGUUCUACAGUUUUAUUGGUAAAAAAUUAAAAUAAAAAGGAAUAAGACGGAAGAAGAAUGAAAAAAUCAUUUUAAUUAUAAGUAUAUCGAACAAGGGAAUUUCAUUAAAAUAUUUAAGGGUAGUAUUGUCAUUUUAAAUGAUAAGGGAGGUAUGUAUAAUUUUAAAAAUCUCGAGGGAGCUAAGUGAAAUUGAUAAAAACCUUAAGGGAGGUUUUUGAAAUUAUCCCUAUUUUGAAUGGAAUAAAUAAUUUAGAUCAUCUCAUCGCCUUGGUGUUUGAAAUUGCUAUGUAAAGAUAAAAACGACUUUAUAUGCUCCAAGCCUCCAACAGCAUUUGUCAUAUCUGUAUCAACCUUUUAAGACUGAAUCUAUAACAUUGUGCCAAAAAAACAUGAUAUGGAAGGGUCGUAUUUUGGGAAACAAGACCUAGAAAGGGUCGUACUAUCGGGAACAUAUUUCCCCAUGGAUUGUCUAUUAAUCAAUACAUUCAUACUUCUACGGUAAGGGCAUCCGAAAGAAUCAGCUUACCAAAUAUUAUUGUUCUGGCAUUAUUGAAGUGACCGUGCCCCACCCACGUUGUGUCGUGACUCUAGGUAUCAGCAAACAGCCAACUUGUGGCCCCAAAUCCUACAAUCAACAUGCUCAAGCACUCUAGGGACCUUACCAAACAGCCUUUGUUAGUUGAAAUAUCUUAAGUACUAUCUCGAACAAAGAUAUGAUCAUUUUAUAUAAAAUUAUAGAGAGAUUAUGUAGAUAAAUGGAAUGUACAAUAAGUAGUAAAGUGGAUAUUCAUGCAUAUAGGAUGCUUCAAAAAUUAAUAGAAACUUCCUCUCACUAAGUUGAGGCUUUCUCUCUCUAAGUAGAAGUGCUCUCUCUUGGGAUAGGAACUCUUCACCUUUUUUGGUGGGAAAGGCAGCAAACUCAAACUUUUUCAAACUACCAUACUCCCGCACUUUUACCAACAGGAGCUUCCAAGGCAGAUGCUUCCUCAACUCUGUCAGAAUCAAUGCAACCGAAAGCAGUAUAUCUUUGAGAUUAGUAAUGCAUGGAUAGAAGUAGCUCAAGCGUCACAAGCUCCAAACCUUGGGUAAACUUACGCCAGGUAUAACGAGGUGCUGUGUUUCUAUCUUGCCUUUGUACUUUUAAAGGCAACCGUGAUCAGAGCAACUUUUUACAUUUUCUUUCUUCACUUUCGGUUUUUGUCAGCAGAAUCACUCAGUGUUUCUAGUGGCCUCUUUGCCCUUUUGUUUUUUCCUUGUCUGUCUCUACCCUGUUUUUACCCUGUGUCUCCUAAGUGAGGUGUGGAAUUUCUGUCUAGAAAUAGCUGACCCUGUCCAUGGAGGGAGAUCUAUCGGAACUCUUACGGAAAUUUACUCUGGAAGGGAAUGAGUUCUCAGGAGCUACCCUGGAGGUGGAAGACCUGCAUAAUGGAGUGAGAGCUUGCGAAGGUAGUCUUAUAGGAAGGGUUAUAAGAGAGAAAGUGAUUAACUUUAUAGGGAUUAAAAGUUUUUGUGGCUAUGGCAUGGGGUUAUCUGAGGAAUAUGACAGUGAUGGAACUGGGACCUAAUGUGUUUCAGUUCAACAUCCCGAUUUCUGAUGAGAUGGAAAGAAUUGUUAAUGGGGGACCUUGGGUGAUAGAUAAUCGAGUUUUAGUGUUGAACAGGUGGACUGAAGGGAUAGAAGAAGACUAUAGAGCCUUUAUGUUUGCACCCCUUUGGGUACAAAUCUAGAAUUUGCCAGUUCACUGGCAUUCUAAAGAAGUUGGAAAAAAGAUUGGAGCAGUGUUUAAAAAAGUUGGAGAGGUGUUAGUACCUCAAUCUGGAGGGAAAGUGUGAGAAUCCGAGAAAAUUAUAUGUAUGCCUUGAAUUUAUUUCAUUUUAUUUACUUUAAUAUUAGACAUAUCAUAUAUAAUGAAUAAACGGUUAAAUUAAAUGCCUAAUUGAAUCUCCAUAAAAUUGAGAAUUUAGAAACUAUCCUAGGAUGGCAUGAGAAAUUCUUAUAGGAGUAUGCAAAUUGGAACAAACUAAAGUUUGAGGCAAUAUUUGAAGAUGGUAAAAUUUCAACUCCUUAGCAAGUAAAUAAAUUAAUUCAAAAGACCAUUUUAACCUCAACACUUGAGCAAUUAACUAUGCAACCGAAUUGACCAUUCUCGGCUAAGCAUAAGACUGAACAGAGGAUUAAAAUUCGGUGGAUUCCAUUUGGUAUCAAUUUGCUAAGAGCAAAAGAAGAACAACCGAGAGCUAAGCUAUCUUUUCUCCAAACCCAAAACUGAGAGUAGAAGUGAGAGCGAGGGAGAGAAAUUUUGCUAGCUUCAACACCUGCUAAUCACAACCGAGAGAGAGUAAAGCAAGGAGAACUGGAGCGAGAAUCUGGUGCAAGAAAUUUGAGGAACCAAAGCAGAGAAUUAGAGCCGUCUGCAAUUAUCGAAUUCUAGAGGAAAAGAGGUAAGAUUCUGCAAUAACUUCCUGCCUAUUUAGUAUAAUUGAAUAUAUACAAGCUGCUUGUUGAACUUAGCUAGGAAAAUGAGCUCUUGGCUGAAGGAAAUUCUGUGUAGCAACUGAAAAGCUGUAGGAAAGGAAAAUUGCAGAAACCGAGAGUGAAAAUUUAAAUCUGCAACUUGUUAUCAAUAUUUCUUUGGAGAAUAAUGUUAAGAAGUGCAUGCAAUAUAUUUAUCUUAAGUUUAUAAGAGGUUUAGCUGGGAAAACUUGUGAAAAGUUGGAAGUUUGAGCUGGAAAUUGCUAAAGGAAAGUCACUGGAAAUUUUCCAGCUUUAGCUGAGAGAGGGAAUAGAGUUUUAUCUAACUUUUCUUUUCGAAUCCCUGGUUAUAAAUUCUAUACUGCUGCUUAAGUUAUCUUAUCUUGUAACAUAACAACAACCCCUAUAUGUUCAGUUGGGAGUGAGAGAAUGCAUAAAAUUGAGAAAGGCAGUUUCAUACUUACACUGUUAACAUUUGCUAAAGGUUAUAUGUUGCUGAUGACAGGAUUAUUUGAGGCUAAUUGGUGGAACUGCUGCUGGAAUUGUAUGCAAGUUUGCUUUAGAUUAGAUUGGACAAAAAUAUACUAAGUGUUUAGUGUUUUAAGCAAGUGAAAGAUAGAACUUUGUUGAAAAUUCUGAGGUAAUGUAGCUUGAAACAUGUGUGCUGGCCGAGGGAGUUAGGAGGAAGAGUUCUUGUGUUAUUUUGAAAUUUCCAAGAUAAUUGGUUAUAAAUUUUGUAUAAAACAUCUUAUAACAUCUUGUCCUAGUUUUCAUGUGCAUCUUAUUGAUUUUUUUUAACACUUAAAAAGCUGGUGUAGUGGAAAAAAACCCAAACUACAAACAACUUAGAAUCUGGUUUAGCUUAAAUGGAACAAAUGAAGAGUUCAUUUGCCUUAAUCCUUGAAUAUUGGAUAGAAAAUGAUUUAAUCUUAGUCUAAACUUCUUACAAGACUUUAAACUUGGAAUAUACGUAUAUUUCUUUGGUUUUUGUUGAAAUUUGAUGCUUAAAUUAUAUUAAAAUUGCUGGUAUGAAUGUCAUACUUAAGUCUAUGGGUGGUUUGAACAAAAGUCUUGUGGUUUUAAAAGAGAAAAAGGAGUUUUUCACAAGUGAAAAAUGAGUUUUCAGAUCUUCGGAUUUUACUGACCAGUUUCAGUAAAAUGCUUAUAUCUUGGUGUAGAAAAAUCCGAUUGAGGUGCCGUCAGCGGCAUUUGAAACUAGACUCAUGGGCCUUUGUUUUGUACAAAAUACAAAUGUCAUAUUUUUCCUCCAUGUGUACUGCUGUACGUGAAUCCUCAAAGUAGGUUGUCCAGCUUGAAUGUCCUGUUUUCUUCAGGAAAAUAAAUUUUUGACUUGGAUCGAAUAUUUGACCUAUUUGUGAUUUGAAUCUCUGAAAAGUGUCUUCUGGGAUGUGGUAGUACUAAAAAUCUAUUUUACAACGGUAUAACUUUCAUAAUUUUUCGACUUGUGGAACUCGAGUUGUGAAUUUUUAAAGUUUACUGUUACUGUUCAUCUCAGUUGAUUCCUGAAGCAUAGAAACGGGCUUCUUAACUUUAAAACCUCGAACGGCCUACUUCCAAUCUCUUACCUUGAUUUUUCCACUUCCUUGACUUCAAAUGUAUCCCUAUUGAACUUCUCUCGCUAAUGUAUCUCUCCUUUCCUCAAAGUUUUACGCUUUAACAAGUUAUCUUAAUUAAAGCGGUCAAGACUUGUACUUAACUUUUAGCCACCAUUUCCGAAUUUCCAAGUGAAGCUUACAUGCUAAAAUUGCCUUUUUGUGUGGAUGACACUGAGCCUAGUUGAAGGGCUAUUGUGUUAAGAUUGCUUAUGUAUGACUUUGGAGCUGAGUUGAGGAAAAUAAUGAAGCCAUAAAUGGCUGGAAAAUAGCUAAAUACAAAGGGCAUGCCGCCCAAAUUUUCACUUGAAAGUUAGGCGUGUGUACUCGCGACUUGAGUGAAGAUUUGAGAACGAAUUGAACUUGAAUUGUCUAGGGUUUUCGAGUCUUCUUUCGUAGAGGCAUAUAAGUUGGAAUUUGGCCGAAACUCGUACCCUUGGAAAGAUGAAAGUAGUGAUCACUCGAAAUAUGUUUUUCUCGUCUUUUGAACUCAAAUGCGAAUUCCAAAGUUUUAGUUGCUUCUUUAGCAACACCGAAAGAGCGAGUAUGAAUUUUCUAGAAUUUGAUACGUAACAUAAAUCCUAUCUAAACGAGUUUCAUUUACUUGAUCUGUUUAAAGCGAGACUCUUAAGUGUCGAACCCUAGUUGAUUUCAAGUUUUUAAAUGAUAUUGUAUCGCAGAUUUAGACUCCGACCAAGGAGUUACACCUGAACGUAAUUUUGACAAGCACUAAACCUUUGGUGAGUGCUUCCAAAUACUUGAUUGUACUUGACACUUGUGUUUAAUACUUGAAUAAUGUGAUUACAUGAUAUAUGAGUGGAGUGAUAGGGCAAGUGUGUACUUUAUCGCACUUGCCCUAAUGUGAUUUGUUCUUGGUCAUUGAUUUCAGUUGAAUUGAUAUACAUGCAUAUGAAUUACAUCUUGUCUGGAAUUCCAGAAACCCUGUGGCUAGUUAAUCGAGUCGAGCCGGCAAGGGUCUGGUCGAUUACAUAACGAACCCUGGAUAGUUAAUGUUGUCGAGUAGAGUGUUAUCUCCUCGACUAAUCGGUAUACUCGAGUAUUACCACCAGUGUUUAUCUUGGAAUUCGGGCCCAGUAACGGGUUUGGUUGGUGGACGGAGAUUGGAGUUAAGUGGUGUACUACUGGACUAGUUACCUGACUUGAAAGUUGACGGAGUGUCAACUACUAAUUGAUCAAGCGAUGAUGGACCUGGUUUACAAAAAUGAUUGUAUCCUUUUACGUGAAAUACUGAAUAUGAAAUGUUGGUUGUACAAGUUUAUUGCUUAUUUCCUUGACUUGUUAUGCUCGCUAUUUUACUAUUAUUAUAUAUUUACUGUUAAUUAAUGGUCAAUUUGCUAUUUGGAACAUCACUGAGUUUUAGCUCACUCCGUUAGUUUUGUUUUCCUUACAGGGGGUACGAGUGAGGCGUGAGACUUGUAAAGACUAGCGUAGUCUAGUUGUUUUGACUUUUGAAAUUGUACUCGCGCUAGCACCCGAUUAAGGUUGAUUGUUCUCGAUUUGUAAACACUUUAAAGUAUUUUGGUGUGUAGAAACCUUGUAUCUGGGGUUGAACAUCAAUGUAUAUAUGAUGUUAAUUAGUUGCUAUGGAUGUAAGUUAUUUUCUCGAGUUACGAGUGAAUGAAUCCUGACGAGAGUUGGGCAGGCGACUCGCUAAACCCUAGGGUACGCUCUAGGGGGAGGUGGGGUCAUCACAGAAAGAGGGCAGGCAUCUGAAAAUCUUAGCACUAGUAGAUGAUAAAGGUUUAUUUUACAUAUUUUUAAGUGCAUUUUAGUAGUUAAUUCUGGUUUCAUUAUUUAGUUUUAUGACUAAAAUAACUAGGUUUUGGGUAAAAAUAUACAUUUUUGGUAAAAGUGGCUAAUAUUGCAUUUCUUUUGAUUUUAAUGGUAAAAAUUUCAUUUUCAUGCAGGAUUAAUGAUUCAAUCACCAACGGAUGUCAAGUGAGAUGAAAAGUAGAUAAUUGGUAAUGAAUUCAAGUGGUAAAAAAAGAAAUGAAGUGAAAAACAUUUAAAUGAAGAAAUGCAGUUCAAGACAGUUUUGACACUCUUCGGUAUUUCGACUAUAUCUAGAGCUACAUAUAUCAGAUUGAGGUGAUAUUUAUACCAUUUUGAAGCUAAGAGAAAGAUCUAGAUUUGGUAUGAAAACAUCGAAAUCCAAUUCUGUUGUUUUCAUAGACAAAAAAUCGAAAUGCAGAAGUAUUCUACGGACGAGAAUGAAACAGGGGUUUGAUCAGGUGAUAGUAUUUGAUCAUAUCUUAGUUUACAAAGCUCCGAUUUGGAUGAUUCUUGAAGCAUUGUAAAGCUAAUUCAAAGGGCUACAACUUUUUGUAUUUUACACAAAAACUAGUUCGACUUUCAUCAUGGAGAAAAUCGCAGCAGAAGUGAAGCAAAAAACACAGAGUUGAAAACGUGAGUUGACAAAACGCGACUCCAAGCCGCGUUUUCUGAAGUCGCGUUUUGUAGCCGAAAUUCUGUAAUUUGUUCAACCAUUUCUCUUAUGUUCACACACUUUCCAGCUAUUUUUGGUAAGGAAAUUCGGCUGCACAUGCUUCAGAAGACAAAAAGGAAGAGAUAUAGCCAAAGUUCCAAGUAAAAAACCAUGGUUUUUGACUUUCUUAACAAAUUGAGAUUUGAGAAUCAUUAGAGUGGAACUUUGACCGGUGGAAUGGAGCUGAUAUCAGUUUAUAUACAGAGAUAUUUGGGAGGUCUAUUAUCAUACGGGAGAAGCUUGGAGAGUGCAGAUAUGUAGUUUUUUCAUUUUUUUAGUGUAGGAUAGUUUAGCUAGUUAACUCAUCCACUCUUGUAUGUUGGCUAGAUUAGGAUGAAGAUGGAGAUGAAGAAGAAGGAGUUGAAACUCAAGUGACAUGGGUUAUCUUUUUUCCAACUCUUUAUCUUUUGUAUUGGAUUCUUAAAUAUGGUUAAUAUGCAAGUUUUGGAUUUCAUGUUUAUUAGAUGUCUUUAAAGUUUAUGCCUUGGGUUUGGUUGAACUUUCUAUGAUUGCUAGUGUUUAUUAUUUGGUUAUUUGAUGCCAUUAUUUUGAAUAAGUUAUUUAGCACUUUAGCUCUUUGAAAUCAUGAUUAAUUUGGUACCAUUGAUUGUGAUUAUCUAAGGUGUUGUUUUUGCAAUAAAAAUUGAGAUUUAACACUGGUUCAAGAAGUGCUAAACAUAGGGAGUACACUCACGAGAGUAGAGGUGCACCUAUGUGGUUUUAGUGAUUAAUUUCAUGUAAUUUCAUUAAAGAAAUGAACUUGUAACUAAUUUCAUAACCAUGAGAAUAGGUAUGGAUUAGUUAUAAGUAUAGUUGAUUCACUACGAAAGUAGGUUUCAUAUGCAUAAGGAAAUUACAUCAUAACUAACCUAGAUAGUAGUGCUCAAUGAUCCAAAUAUAGCACUUGUAUGAGUAGUUAGGUAUACCAUAAUCUAAGUAGCUUUCAUUUGUUAUUUUGCAUAAGUUCAAUAGGUUUCAUUUCUUAUAAUUCAUUGAUAGUCUAAAUAAUAGAGAAGUUUUAGUAACACUGGUAAUUGUUCAAUUUUUCUCGUGGGAUCGACCCGAUAUAUACCUUAAACUACUAGUUGACCUGUAUACUUGUAGUGAAACGGAUGUAUUUCGGAUUUUUUGAACUUGUACAUAUAUUAAAAUCCCGUCAAGUUUUUGACGCCGUUGCCGGGGAAGAUUUGGCAAUAUCGGUGUGAAGAACAACUUAUUAGUUUAGACAUUUUAUUAGUUAUCGACUGUGUGUUAAUUGUGUCUAGUCAGUCUUGAAUUCAUUUUCUUUUAUUUUUUUGUGUUUUAAGUGUGUAUGUGUUUUAUAACCUAUUCUGCUUACUAAUCUUGCUCUUAAGUUGUUUAAAAAUAAUUUUAGGUAAUGAGGAGGAUAGGUCAAUUUGGAGAACAAUGCUUGAGAAAUGGAAGAUUGGCAAUGGGUGGUUACCGAGUGUAAAACUCCUUCAAUAGAGAUAAUAAAAAAUUUACUGAAGGUGUGUCUUUUGAAGAUGGGUUGAAGUGUUUAAAGGCAAAAUUUGAUGUAAUUAUGUUACAAGUUCAAAUGGACACAAUUAUGCAUGAAAUUGAGCAAGGGAGAAAUGUUAAUGCUUUUAAUUCUUAUCAUGUGAUUUAUGACUUAUGUGGAGAUUAUCAUACUACUCAUACAUGUAGACAAACACAAAAUAUGGAUUAUUUUGAUGAAUUAGAACAUUACAAUCCUUAUUUUGAUCAAUAUAGUGCUAAUUGAAGCAAUUCUCCUGCCUAUAGUUGGGAUAAUCAAUGUACUUAUAGCAAUUCUUCAUAAUUUUAUGAUUACCAACUUGAAUGUGUCCAAUAUGAAUCAAAACCAUUUUGGGAGUUGACAAUAGAAAGAGUAGCUAAUGAUUCUAAACCAUCUUGAAAGGUAGCUUUAGAAAAAUUAACUAAUACAACUUCCGACCGUUUUGAUAGGAUUGAGGAAAGAAUAGAUGAAUUAGCUUCUCACUUUGGUAAAAUACAUGAGCAAUUGAAUGUAUUGUGUGAAGUUAUUUCUUCUAAUAAUUUACAAAAUGACCCUAGCAUGAAUGGUAGGAUGUAGUAUGUGAAAAAGGAUUGCAUUUUGAUGAAAAUGAUGAAUCUCAAUGGUGUUUCAAUGAGCAAAUAUCCAUUUCACAUGAUAAUAUCUUUGGAACUAACCUUGAACCUCAAGAUGUGAGUUUUAAUGACUCAUUUUUCACUCCUCUUGAGGAGUGUAUUGAAAGUAUAGGUUCUAAAGGUAUUGUUGCCUAAGAUAUCCUCAUUACAUCUCCUUUGGUAAGUUCUCAAAUGGUGCAUAUUCAAGAUAAUAUCUAUGAAACACUUGGGUUAGGUAAGUCACUUCCAUCUCUCAUAUCAUUAGAACACGUGACUUUUACUAUAAAGUCACCUUUUAAUGAUCUACCACGACCUAAAAUGGUGGAUUAUUCUUUAAUCAAGCCUCCUUGAAAAAUGAGAUUCAAUAGUCGAGCCAACAACUAUAAAUAAAAACGCUUGUUGGGAGGCAACACAAUAUUUUGGCUAUUUAUGUUAUUUUGGGGUGAUUUUAUGUUUAAAGUAUGAGUUUGAGUUAUUUUAUUAUUUUUCAUUUGCAGGUAUUGGAAAUGAAAGCAAAAGUGACCAAAUGAGGUGAAAAAGGCGAAAUUUGAUCAAGGAACUCAACCCCUCGAUUUGAGUAAUUGUUGUUUUUGAUUCGUUAGAAUGGGUUAAAAUGCAUGUUUUGAUCAUUUUAUAUAUGCAUGCAGUGAGUAUUUUAGCAAACAAAUGAUCUAUGAUGCAUUUUGAAAAAUUGGGAUACCAUUAGUAAUUAUUCAAAAGUUGCAUUUCUGCAUAAUUUUGCAGAAGAAAACGCGCCUCUGAGUCGUGUUUUCAUAGAAACACGUUUUCAAUUCUGCAUCGGUAUCAAAGAAAAUGCGCCUUCAAAAGAAAUCGCGUUUUCCAGCUUGUUCAGAAACCAGAAACGCGCCUUCAAAUACGCGACUAUAAGUUGCGUUUUGCCACAGAAUUGCGUUUUUUAUGCUGCAACUUUUGUGAAGAAACGCAACUUCACUACACGCAGCUUGAUGGUGCAUUUUGAUGAGUCGUGUUUUCUGAGCACGUUUUUUUUUAAGAAAAAUGCAGGUUCCUUGAUUCUCUUUUUUUUCCUUAUAUAUUUUCUUGUACCUUGAGUAGUUUAUUGUAUAUUUUAUAGAGGUACAUCACCAAAACAAAGGCUUGAAGUUACAGAUCACCAUUUUGUUUAUUAAACCUUUGUUAUCACUUUUGUUUCUCAUUUUUCAUUUUUAGGUUUAUACAACUAAUGGUUAUUCAAUGGAACUCAUGAAGUAUUGAAGAUACACGGAAAACGGAUCUUGAAGCUUCAUAUUCAAUCGCAACAAUAGGGGAGUAUUACUUUCUUUAUCUUGGUUUUCCUUUUUACACAUUGAGAACAAUGUGCAUGUUAAGUGUGGGGGGGGAGAAUUGAGAUUAUAUACAUUAUAUGUGAUUGACUUAUUAGUUGUAAAUAUUGGACUUGUGUUAAAAUUCAAAAUUUUUCUUGUCCAAAAUUGCAAAGUUGCCCCAAAAAUGUUUCAAUUUUUUUUUCAAUUUAUCUAAGGGGUAACAAGUUUCUUACCAUUAGUAGUUCAAAUUCUUUCUACAUUUGAGAUAAAUAUAUAUGAUUUGGAAACUUCUUUUCUCAUUUAACUUGGAAAUGACUAUUAUGUGAUUAGCCCCUUUGGGAAAAAAAAAGAGACUAUUAUGUGAUUAUAAUUUUGCAUUUGUAAGAAAGUAUAUCUUUUAAAGUAGAGAAAAUUAUGCCUAUUUUUUUGCAUAUUUAAUGAAAUUUCUUCUCUUUAUUUGAUUUUAUAAGUUAAGUAAUAAAUUUGGUCAAUAAGUGCAAUAUUCUUCUCAUGAUUAUUCUUUUGAGAAAAUUAUUAUUAUCUUUGCUGUUAAAAAAAAAAAGAAAAAAAGAGAAAAUGAAAAAAAAGAAGAAAAAAGAAAAUAAGAUUUGUUCUACUCCAAUGAUUCUUGUACUUAGUAACCGUGAGUCUUCAUCUACAAAUACUGACUUUCGCAUAAAACAGUACUUGAAUUAAGAGUAUGCAAAGCAAUUUGAGCAUGUGAAGUGUUGAGUAACCGGUGAUAUUCAUCUAAAAAUAUCGAUCCUCGCGUCAAAAAGCACUCUCACGUCUUAAGUAAUAUUUAGAUAUGUUAUAUGAAUAAAUAUCUUUUUAAGUAGAAUAAAAAGAUGAUCAUAAGUUUAGAAAACAUUUUAUUGACCAUAUGAAUUACUUGCUUGUAAAAUUGGGUAAGGAUGAAAAAUUGAUUUGAAUUUGUUAUAAUGGUGGUAUAAUUAGCUCUCCUUUACUUGAUAUUAUGAGUACUUGAUGAGUAAUGAAAGAUUGCAUAAUGGUUAUUUACUUGUUUUGAGAAAAUGAAGUUGAUAGUGCAUAUAUGUUUAUUUUCAAAAUUUUGAAUCAUUGUUGGUUUGUAUUUCUGAUUGCUUGAGGAAAAGCAAUGGUUCAAGUGUGGGGGUAUUUGAUAAGGGUUUAUUUUACGUAUUUUAAGUACAUUUUAGUAGUUAAUUCUGGUUUCAUUAUUUAGCUUUAUAACUAAAAUAACUAGAUUUUGGGUAAAAAUAUACAUUUUUGGUAAAAGUGGCUAAUAUUGCAUUUCUUUUGAUUUUAAUGGUAAAAACUUCAUUUUUCAUGCAGGAUUAAUGAUUCAAUCACCAACGGAUGUCAAGUGAGGUGAAAUGUAGAUAAUUGGUGAUGAAUUCAAGUGGUAAAAAAAGAAAUGAAGUGAAAAACGUUUAAGUGAAGAAAUGCAGUUCAAGACAGUUUUGACACUCUUCGUAUUUCAACUAUAUCUAGAGCUACACAUAUCGGAUUGAGGUGAUCUUUAUACCAUUUUUAAGCUAAGAGAAAGAUUUAGAUUUGGUAUGAAUACAUCGAAAUCCAAUUCUAUUGUUUUCAUGGACAAAAAUUCGAAAUACAAAAGUUGUAUUCUAUGGACGAGAAUGAAACAGGGGUUUGACCAGGUGAUAGUAUUUCAAUCAUAUCUCAGUCUACAAAGCUCCGAUUUGGAUGAUUCUUGAAGAAUUGCAAAAACUAAUUCAAAGGGCUACAACUUUUGUGUUUUGCACAAAAGCUAGUUCGGCCUCUAUCAUGGAUAAAAUCGCAGCAGAAACGAAGCCAAAAACACAGAGUUGAAAACGCGAGUUGACAAAAAGCGAUUCCAAGCCGCGUUUUCUGAAGUCGCGUUUUGUAGCCGAAAUUCUGUAAUUUGCUCAACCAUUUCUCUUAUGUUCAAACCACUUUCCAGCUAUUUUUGGUAAGGGAAUUUGGCUGCACAUGCUUCAAAAGACAAAAAGGAAGAGAUAUAGCCAAAGUUCCAAGUAAAAAACCAUGGUUUUUGACUUUCUUAACAAAUUGAGAUUUGAGAAUCAUUAGAGUGAGACUUUGACCGGUGGAAUGGAGCUGAUAUCAGUUUAUAUAUAGAGACAUUUGGGAGGUCUAUUAUCAUACGGGAGAAGUUUGGAAAGUGCAGAUAUGUAGUUCUUCCAUUUUCUUAGUGUAGGAUAGUUUAGCUAGUUAACUCAUCUACUCUUGUAUAUUAGCUAGAUUAGGAUGAAAAUGGAGAUGAAGAAAAAGGAGUUGAAGCUCAAGUGACAUGGGUUAUCUCUUCUCCAACUCUUUAUCUUUUGUAUUGGAUUCUUAAAUAUGGUUAAUAUGCAAGUUUUGGAUUUCAUGUUUAUUAUAUGUCUUUAAAGUUUAUGCCUUGGGUUUGGUUGAACUUUCUAUGAUUGCUAGUGUCUAUUAUUUGGCUAUUUGAUGCCAUUAUUUUGAAUAAGUUAUUUAGCACUUUAGCUCUUUGAAAUCAUGAUUAAUUUGGUACCAUUGAUUGUGAUUAUCUAAGGUGUUGUUUUGCAAUAAAAAUUGAGAUUUAACACUGGUUCAAGAAGUGCUAAACAUAGGGAGUACACUCACGAGAGUAGAGGUGCACCUAUGUGAUUUUAGUGAUUAAUUUCAUGUAAUUUCAUUAAAGAAAUUAACUUGUAACUAAUUUCAUAACCAUGAAAAUAUGUAUGGAUUAGUUAUAAGUAUAGUUGAUUCACUACGAAAGUAGGUUUCAUAUGCAUAAGGAAAUUACAUCAUAACUAACUUAGAUAGUAGUGUUCAAUGAUCCAAAUAUAGCACUUGUAUGAGUAGUUAGGGAUACCAUAACCUAAGUAGCUUUCAUUUGUUAUUUUGCAUAAGUUCAAUAGGUUUCAUUUCUUAUAAUUCAUUGAUAGUCUAAAUAAUAGAGAAGUUUUAGUAACACUGGUAAUUGUUCAAUCUUUCUUGUGGGAUCGACCAGAUAUAUACCCUAAACUACUAGUUGACCUGUAUACUUGCAGUGAAACGGGUGUAUUUUGGAUUUUUUAACUUGUACGUAUAUUAAAAUCCCGUCACCGUGAUCAGAGCAACUUUUUACAUUUUCUUUCUUCACUUUCGAUUUUUGUCAGCAGAAUCACUCAGUGUUUCUAGUGGCCUCUUUGCCCUUUUGUUUUUUCCUUGUAUGUCUCUUUCCUGUUUUUACCCUGUGUCUCCUAAGUGUGGUGUGGAAUUUCUGUCUAGAAAUAGCUGACCCUGUCCAUGGAGGGAGAUCUAUCAGAACUUUUAUGGAAAUUUACUCUGGAAGGGAAUGAGCUCUCAGGAGCUACCCUGGAGAUGAAUGACCUGCAUAAUGGAGUGAGAGCUUGUGAAGGUAGUCUUAUAGGAAGAGUUAUAGGAGAGAAAGUGAUUAACUUUACAGGGAUUAAAAGUUUUGUGGCUAUGGCAUGGGGUUAUCCAAGGAAUAUGACAGUGCUGGAACUGGGACCUAAUAUGUUUCAGUUCAACAUCCCGAUUUCUGAUGAGAUGGAAAGAAUUGUUAAUGGGGGACCUUGGGUGAUAGAUAAUCAAGUUUUAGUGUUGAACGGGUGGACGGAAGGGAUAGAAGAAGACUAUAGAGCCUUUAUGUUUGCACCCCUUUGAGUACAAAUCUGGAAUUUACCAGUUCACUGGAUUUCUAAAGAAGUUGAAAAAAAGAUUGGAGCAGUGUUUAAAGAAGUUAGAGAGGUGUUAGUACCUCAAUCUGGAGAGAAAGAGGGCAGGCAUCUAAAAAUCUUAGCAUUGGUAGACUUGUCUAAACCUCUUCUAAGAGGUACUGUGGUUAAGAUUGCAGGAGCUCUUAAGUGGGUAGCUUUUAAAUACGAAAUGUGCCCUGAUUUUUGCUAUAGUUGUUGUAUAGUAGGACAGAGUGAGAGGUCCUGUAAAGAGAGGAGAGUCCUAGGGGGAUGCAAUGUAGAAAACCAAUACGGCCUUUGGUUGAGAGCUGGAAAUUAUAGAAGCUCUCCUCAAAAGAAACCAAAUAGACCUGAUGUGUUAAGCGACAAAAGAUAUUGGUCCUUUCAGAAAGGAGAAAUGGAUGAACAGGAUAAUAGUAGGACCAAAAUGACAAAGAGUCUGUUGGAAACUCUUAAGUCCAUUGGUGAUAGAGGAGAUAGCACUCAGGUUUUAAGGAAAGAUAUGGAGGAUGAUAGGUUAGCAAAAGAUACAGGAGCAUCAACAAAUGUGAUGAGAAGCAAGGAGGAUACGCAAGAUUGCCAGGAGGGUCAGUUGAACCUGGAUAAGAGGAGCCCUGACCUCCCUCUAGUGAUUGAAGUUGAGGAAGAAAUUCAAAACCCAACUGUUGUAGAAGAAAUGGAGGAGGAUAGAGAGGUCGAGAUAUUGAACCUAAAUCAAAAUCAAGAACUUGGGGCCAAUGAGGAGUCAAUAGGGGCUCUAGUGCUCCACCAUGAUUCCCAAUGUACUGAGAGGGUGGUGGAGGUAAUAGAUAAGCAAGCCAAGAGGACAUUUAGGAGGUUGAAGUCCCCAACCAGAACCAGAAAACUUUUGAGGGAGUUAAAUGGCAAAGGAGAGAGCCAGAUGAAUGUUGGGAAGAGAAAGGUUCUGAUUAGGGAUGAAGAGAUGGAGAAAGCUAACCAUGAGGUAGUACAAUGGAAAAAAACUAAGCCCAUGGAGGAAUUGUAUUCUGCUGAGGUGAGGGGAGAGGAGGUAGAGUCCUUCCUUAAUGGGGCCCCUAAAGGAAAAUGAGAGUCAUGGUGUGGAAUUGUCAAGGAGUGGGGAGCCCCUUGACAGUUCCCCAUCUGAGGGGGGUGAAUAACCUCUCCUCUCCAAGUUUGAUUUUUUUUAAGUGAGACUAAAAAUAGGAAACCAGUUCUUGAUAGAAUAGCUAGAGGGCUCAGAUUUGACAAUAAUGUAGUGGUUGAAGCUAUGAAUAGAGCAGGGGGCAUGGCUUUAUUUUGGACUAAGGAAACACAAGUUCUGGAAGUGAACACUACUGCUUUCACAAUAGAGGCUAAAAUUGAAGACACUGACAAUCAAGUUAUCUGGUGGUUUAUUGGAUUAUAUGCUAGUUGUGACCAUAUGAUAAGGAGGGAGCAAUGGAGGGUGCUGAGUAAUAGGAAAGGUUAUGGGGUUCUAGGUACUUGAUAGCUGGGGACUUUAAUGACAUUCUGUCUAAUGAGGAAAAAUGGAGAGGUGUAGUAAGAGAGGAGAGGAGCUUCAGGGAUUUCAAAGACUUUAUUAAUCAAAAUAGCUUAGUGGAUAUUGGGUUUGAAGGACAACCUUGGACGUGGAGCAACCACUGGAAUGAUAAAGAAGAAAUCAGACAAAGACUAGACAGAUAUCUAUGUAGUGUUGAAUGGUUCCAAGAUUUUGAAAAGGUAAGAUGUCAGCAUUUGGACACAUAUGUUUCUGAUCACCACAUGUUUUUGAUAGAAACAGUCCCGACAACAGAAAGGGAAAAACAAAGGUUUUAUUUUGACAAGAGAUGGCUUCAAAGGGAGGGAGUGCAACAAGUGGUUAAGAGAACCUGGAAUAAAGAGGAGCAAGGUUCAAGAAUGUUCAAAAUCACAAAGAAGAUUAAAAAUUGUAGAAUUGAACUCUUGAAGUGGAGGAAUUCUUUCCAAGCUAACUCUAGGAGUAGAAUCAUUGAUCUAAAGAAAGAACUAGAGAGAGCUAGGAACUCAGAGUCUAUCAAUAGGAUAGGAAAUCUGAAUGACAACAAAGAUAAGUUGAGUUCGGCUUAUAAGGAGGAAGAACACUUUUGGGGACAAAAAGCUAGAAUCAGUUGGCUUAGGGAGAGGGAUAAGAAUACCAAGUAUUUUCACACCUAUGUCAAGGGAAGGAAAGCGAGCAAUAGAAUCAGAAAUUUGCAGAGAGAUAAUGGUUCUUGGACAAAAAAUGAGGAUGAGGUAGUGACUGAAAUUUCAUAUUACUUUAAGGAGUUGUUUAAAAGUGGAGGAAGAAGUGAUAUGUUAGCAAUCUUAGAUGGUAUUCCACACUCCAUAACUCAGGAGAUGAAUGAUAAAUUGACCAAAGCAGUGGAGGAAAAAGAAAUUCAUGAUGCUUUAUUUUCCAUGAAUCUUGAAAAAGCUCCAGGACAAGAUGGGAUGACUUCACUGUUUUUUCAGAGAUUUUGGAGUACCAUUAAGAGGGACAUUAUCCCAGCAAUCAAAGCUUUUUUCAAUUCAGGUUUCAUGCUUAAAUCCAUAAACCAUACGGUUAUCUCCCUCAUUCCCAAAAUCUUUCACCCAACCAGUUUAAAAAAUUACAGGCCAAUCAGUCUUUGCAGUGUGCUUUACAAAAUCAUCUCUAAAAUUCUUGCAAAUCGAUUGAAGUCUAUCCUGGACAAAUGUAUAAGCAAGACUCAAUCAGCUUUUAUUUCAGAUAGACAGAUUUUAGAUAAUGUGAUUGUUGCUCAUGAGUACAUGCAUUACCUUAAAAACAAAAGACAAGGGAAAGAUGGUUACAUGGCAAUUAAGUUGAUAUGACAAAAGCUUAUGAUAGGGUGGAGUGGCAUUUUUUGCAGGCAAUGAUGGAAAAAAUAGGUUUCUGCUAUACAUGGAUCAACUGGAUCAAUAGUUGCCUGAAAACAGUGAACUAUUCCUUCAACUGCAAUGGAGAAAUUAAAGGUUUUGUGGCACCAGGAAGGGGAAUACGACAGGGAGAUCCAUUGUCUCCUUAUCUAUUCUUAAUAUGUUCCGAGGGAUUCUCCAAUUUGCUAAGGAAAGCUGAAGAAAGCAGGAGAAUCACAGGAUUGAAAAUUAGUAGGCAAGUACCACUCCUCACCCAUCUCUUCUUUGCAGAUGAUUUCCUCAUCUUUUGUAAAGCUAACAAGCAAGAGACUGUUGAAAUCAUGAAAGUUCUAAAAGUCUAUGAAAUAACUUUAGGGCAGUUGAUCAAUCUUGACAAAUCUGCAUUAUUCUUUAGUAAAAACAUGGACUGUGAGCAAAGAUGAGAGGUAUGCCAAGCUCUAGGAGGAAUGAUGGAAGCAAAGCAAGGGAAAUAUUUGGGACUUCCAAUGGUGAUUUCCAGAACAAAGGAUCAGAUAUUUGGAUUUGUAAGAGAAAACAUAAAAAGAAGACUUCAGAAUUGGAAAAACAAAUUCCUGAGUUCAGCUGGAAAAGAGGUCAUGCUGAAGGCAUUGCAAUGGCCAUGCCUACGUACGUUAUGUCAUGUUUUAAGCUGUCAAGAAAACUUUGCAAUGACAUUACUGCUUUGAUGGCAAAUUUCUGGUGGGGAGAAACCAAUGGAAGGAACAAAAUGCACUGGAUUUCUUGGGAAAGAAUGGCAGUACACAAAAACACAGGUGGUCUAGGUUUCAAGGAUUUGGAAGCCUUUAAUAAAGCACUUUUGGGGAAGCAGGUAUGGAGGAUCCUAACCAAGCCAAACCUUCUUGUCAGCAAGGUGUUGAAGGCUAAAUAUUUCCCUCAGGAAUCCAUCCUACAAUGCACUCCCCCCAAGAAUGCAUCAUGGAUUUGGCAAGGAUUAGUGGGACCAAGAAGUUUACUAGAUGAAGGCUUGAUCGGGAGAAUUGAAAAUGGUAGAAGUACAAAAAUCUGGGAUCAUAAAUGGUUACCAGAGACACUAAAGGGGAAAUCAACUACUUGUAGAACCAGUAGCUAUGAGCUGAAAAUGGUUGAUGAGCUUAUAUGUCAGAAGAGAUGGAACAGGAAUAUCACCUUCAGCAACUUUAACAGAAAUGAUGCCGAGAGGAUUCUCAGCAUCCCUUUAAGCCUCUCAAGGAGGGAAGACAGCUAUUAUUGGCAACCAAUGGCUGGAGGGGAGUAUACAGUUGACUCAGGCUACAAAAUUCUGAUGGAGAAAGGCAGAAGUGUAAGGAGGUGCAACUUUGAGGGAGCUGGAUCAAGCAAUGCAGAAGGAAGUCAACAAAUGACUCAGAUGUGGAACACACUGUGGAGGCUCAACAUUAAACAUAAAAUCAAGCUCUUCAUUUGGAAAUGUAUUAAAGGAGCCUUGCCAGUAAGGGAGGCAGUGAGUAGACAAACACGAGUAGGUGAUCCUAUAUGUACAACAUGUGGUGAGGCACAGGAAACCAUAGAACAUCUUUUGCUAAACUGUCCUCACACGAUGGACAUAUGGAAAUCAGCUCCUAUUCAGUGGGAUGGAGCUAAGAACCAGUAAGGAGACUUCAAGAGAUGGUGGCUUAGAAUUUCAGAAGCAAGGACUAGACCAGAAGGGAAGGAACAUAUCGGUCUGACAGCAAAUAUUUUGUGGCAGGUGUGGAAAGAUAGGAAUAAAAAGGAAUUCGAGAGCUCAGUUAGGUCCACACCGAUGAGAACAGUAGAACGGGCACAUAAAGAAUGGAUGGAACAAGUGGAAGUGAAUCAGCAGAAAGAUAGAAAGAGUACAGAAGAAACAGUCCCUAUGCAUGAACAACAAAGCCAGUGCAAUGAAAAUGAAGGGACAAUAAUUAUAGGAGUGGCAACAGCAAAGCAGCAAGGACAUAACACUCUUGGAAUAGGAGUCACAGUAUGGGAAAUGGCAAGCACUAAAAUUGCAGAUUGGGUGCAAAAGAGAGAAGCCUGGGGAACAAAGUUUUGGAUGAAGCAUUGGCAUUAAAACUGGUUUUGUGUAAAGCUAUGCAACAGCAUUGGAGAAAUGUAAGGCUCAACUUUUGCAACAAAGAGCUAUGGAAACAAAUAACACAGCAACGACCUGCAAAUAGCAAGAUGGCUACACUGCUGGAAGAUAUUUUCAAACUGAAGAGACUGUUUUGCAUGUGCUCCUUUGGAUUGCAAAAGGGAAGAAAAUAUGUUAGAUAGCAGAAAACUGAGUGUAGAUGCCUUAGGCAUUAUUGUGGAUGAGGAAAGACUUUUUCCUUAGUGUUUUUGAACACUUUUUGUAUAGUUCCCUCGAGCCGUUGCUCGCAUAUGUAACUUUUUCAGAUAAUGAAAUUGUCCUAUCAUUUCGACAAAAAAAAAAAAUAUUCAUGCAUAUCAAUGAAUCAUAGACGAAUUAAAUGGAUAUUAUGAUUUUAUUUUAUGAAUUUUUAAAGUGCGUUUGGUUCAAUCAUCGUGAUUGGUUGUGUUUUUCAUCCAUUCUGCUGUAUAUAAAACUAUAGAAGGGUUAUAUAACUAGUAUAUAAAACUAUAAAGGGGUUAUAUAGCUAUUUUAAAAUCUUAUAGGUUCUCAUAUAACAAUAAAUAAAACUACAGGAGAAUUACAUAUAAUUUACGCUACAUUAUAUAGUCUUUCGUUUGUGUCUACUACUCAAUCAACCAUAAAAACCCCUUCAACCCUUACAUCAAAGGACCAAAAACUUUGUGCAAGAUACAAGAAGCAGUAAAAGAAAUGAUUUCGGAGGGAUGUACUUCUAAAAAUGUGUGUGUUAUUGGUGCAGGUCCAUCAAGUUUAGUGGCUGCUAGGGAGCUAAGAAAAAAAGGGCAUGGUGUGGUAGUUCUUGAACAAAAUCAUGAUAUUGGAGGGCAAUGGCAUUACCAUCCAAAUAUUGAAGACGAGGAUCCUUUAGGAAAGUGUCCUAUCCUAAAUGUCCAUAGUAGCAUUUAUGCAUCUUUACAGGUUAUUUCUCCUAGGGAAACCAUGGGUUUUAUGGAUUUUUCAUUCAGAGUGCGGGAGGGGAGAGACAAUAGGAGAUUUCCUAGACAUAAAGAAGUUCUCAUGUACUUGAGAGAUUUUUGCGAGUGGUUUGAACUAAAAGAUACGAUCAGAUUCAACAUUAGGGUCGACUAUCUUGGAAUGUUAAAUCAUGAAGAAUGCAAAUGAUGAUGGCUUGAAAUGGAUAGUGAAAAGCAUUGAGAAGAAGAAGGCUGGUUAUGAUGAUGAUGAUCAGAAGGUGGUGAUGGAAGAAUUGGCAGUUUUGGGUAGUGUUAUGGGGAUAAAAUUCGAUCCUCAGCAGACAUUGGUUGUUAGGAGGAGAAAUUUGUGUAAACAUUGUGCACAAUGAAUGAUGGCAAAAAAUUAAUAUGCCCUCCCAAAGAAUAGUUGGACACAAAGCACUUUUAACCUACAAGGCCAGUUCAGUAAAAUUGAGUCCUUGAACUUAUGUUUUUCUCCUAUUUCCUUCUUAUUAUAAACUGGACCAUAAAUUUUAAACAAUGACCAAGGUUUUUUUCUUGGUUGAAAAAGUGUUACUAUAGUCAAUUCAUCCAUGACAGUACAGCUUUUGAUUGUGUUGUUAACUGCCAGAAUGUUGUUGGCUAUGACAUUUGACAAAACAUUCUGGCUAAUUUAAUUCCUAUUACUAUCAUUGUUAUUGGUUAUUGAAUUACGUUUAUUUACUCUUUCAUCAGUUCAUAUAGUAAUAUGACAAAAAACAUUUAGAAUAACAUUGUAAUACUUAAAAAAAUAAAGAAAAAAUUGUCGUUUGAUCCUAGCUACACUUCUUCUCUCCCUUGUGUUGCCCUUAGCCUUCUAGUUCUUGACAUCUUUACCUAUAGUAUCUAACAUCUUAAGCAUAAGCUUUUUAUUUUCCAAAAGGGAUAAUUUCAGAAACCACCCUUGAGGUUUCUGACAAUUUCACUUAGCUCUCUCCAAUUUUAGAAAAUUACAUUAACCUCCCUCGAUUCAAUAAAAUGACUGCAAUAUCCUCUACUUAAUAGAUAAUUUACCACAUAUGUGGGAUACAAAAACCAAACCAAAAGUAAAAGAAAAUAUAAAAACCUGUAACAAUUCGUCAUCAUCCCUAACCCUACUUUAAUUAACAACAGUUUCUUUUCUCUUUCCCUCCCUUUUUUUCUAUCUCUUAUGAUUCUUUCCUUUCUACCUAUAACCCCACAGUCUCUUCCACCCAUCAACUACACCACCAUGCAAACCUACCCGAAGUGUUUAUUUCUUGUCUAUUUCUCUCUUUCUGUAGUACUUAACUAUCAGCCCCCUUGUUUAUUUCUUCUCAUGUUAUAAUUUGCAUAUAUUAAAGAAUCAAAAUUUCCAAAAUUACAAAUUGAUAGAGCAAAUGAAAUUUCACUGUCAAAUUAGAUGGAGAUGAUGAAGAUGGUUGUGAUAGAGAGGAAAAAAAUGAAAUUAAUGGGCUAUGGUUGGAAGAGAAAAAUGGAUGACUUUGGGUUAUGCUAUUAUGUCUAUUACACACUAGAAUCUAAUAUCUUCAUUUAGUUUCAUUUUUGUUUGAUUUACAAGUAUUGGUGGUGGUUCGUCAUAAAGAUUAGUUUCUCUGUUCUUGAUGCCAUUGGAGUACGAGGUUGCUCUUGGCAUAGACAUCAAUAGCGGUUGGCUAGAUCUUCUGUUGAAGGAAGGUGAUAUGCGAUAGGUGUUGGGUUCAUAAUUUGAGGUGUGAGAUUAGCCAAUAGACAAAAUAUAGUGUUAAUUUGGGACAAGAAGCUUUUGAGGAUAUUUUAGUUGGUGGUGGUGGUUAUGGUCUAUUUGUAAAGUGAUUCGGGUAGAGUUUGGUAUUUUGAUGAUGCCAAAAUUGAUAGAAUUUGGGGAUUAAGUUGGAGUGCUAUUUUGGUAACAUUUUGGGAUUUUAGUGAUACCAAAAUUGAUAGAAUCUGGGAAUUAACUUGGAGUUUGCUUGAAUGGUUGAUGAGGUUUUAGGUUUACAAUUAUCAUGGAAGCAUAGCAAAUUUGGAUAAAAGUAUUUGUUACUUUUUUUUUGGUGUUAAAUUGAUCACUAAACCUUUUUUUCACUUUCUUUUGAUGUUAUGAUAUUUCAUAAUGGUAUUUUAGGAUAUUUAAGUAUAAUUCUAGUCUAAUGGGUCUAUAAUGUUACUUAAAUAGUAAAAGCAAGGGAGAUCAAUGUAAUUUUCUAAAAUUGGGGGGAGCUGAGUGAAAUUAUUAGAAACCUCAAGGGAGGUUUCUGAAAUUAUCCCUUUCCAAAAUUAGAAUUCAUUUGGAAUUUCAAGGUUUAUCUUGAAUAACUUUUGCAAUACCUUCUUUUCCAUUAGUUUAAGGCAAUUACUUUCAGAAUAUUUACACUAUAUGUCAAUUUUGCUUUGUAGUAUCCUGAAUCCUGAUAGAUAUGCAGAUUACAUGGACUUACCACAUCUACAAGAGUGGAGGAAGGUGCGAUGCAUAUCGGUUGUAAGAAAUUCAUUUGUCAACCUAGAAACUUAUCGUGAUUCAUAUUAUGAUGAUUAGAGAUCCUUCAAGUAGCUUAUGAAAGCCCUCACUGCACUCAACAUGGAGUGGAUCAUGCAAUGACUCUCCGAAGACACACAAAUUUUUUUAUGUUAAAUAUUAUUGUUACAUUGGAAAUUUUGGUAUUAUCAUUGUUAAGCUCUUCUUCUUUGUUCUUUCCCUUUUUCCUUUUCUUUUUUCAAAGAAAGGCAUUGUAUCACCAUGUUGUGAUUAUGUUUUGAGUGCGAAAGAUGAUGCUUUAUUCAGAUGCUCAAAAUAUAGCAAUACAACCCAAAAUUUCUCAAUAUGUUAUUAAAACAGAGGAGACUUACACAAGGUUAUUGAAAACCCAAUGAUUUGUCCAUUCAAAUUAUACAAGUUCCUUUCUUUUUUUUUUUUAGUAAAUAAUAAAAAGUAGAAUUAUCUCAAGAAAAAGAAAAUUUGGGAGAUGAAGUCGGAUAGGAUUGUUAGAAUCUAAUGAUUGCCGUCAAUAGACAAAUAAGUUGGUGGUUAAGCAUGCAUUUGCACAUUGCCCAAAAGUAAUACACCAAAUUCAUACCACAGGUUGAAAUGGAAGCGCAUGGAAUCGGUGUAGACAAUGUGAUACUACCAUGGUUCAAAGUUGUGGUCGCGGUCGCGGUCAUGCCUCGAACCAUUUCAUAUCGGUUUUGGCAUACUAGUCACGGUUUCGGUGAUACGUAAAUUUUGAAUAUUUAAUAUUCUAAAAAUUGUGAAUUAUAUUCAAAAAUAUGCUAAACAAAAAUAAUAAAAAAAAUUAGCAAAAAAAAAUCUGUAAAAUGUAAAUUUGCGAGUUGAUUCGGGAUGAUUCGAGUCGACUCGGCCAAAAUUAUCCGUAUCGAAGACAUCUCGGCCGAGUUCUUGGUGAGUCAAGUAUCUUGGAAUCAUCUUGUUCCGGUGUCGUAUCAAAAGGGUCCGUUCUGAUAACGACUCGGCCGAGUCAUCUCGGUGUCAACCGAGACUUUGAUCCAUGGAUACUACUAACAUUAAACAGAUUUCAGAUCACGAAGAAAAAACAACAGAAAUUAGAGAACAGUCAUUUCAUCAGCUAUAAAGAAAUGUUUCACUGCUUCAUUGCAGCUAAGAAGACCACUCAGUAAAGCAACACCUAAAGGUAACCACCAGAUUUCAUACUCAAGACACUUGCAAAUUUUCACAAUAUAUUGCAGCAUUAUUAUAACAAUUUGAUGCAAGUAGUAAGAAAACAAGGUAAUGAUGAGUGGGUAGCCACAUCUUUCAAGAGAUGAGAGUAAAUAAAAGUGAAGCCAGGAAUCAAGUUAACCAAAAACGAAAUCCACUGGCACUAACAAAAAUCUUUUUUGCGUUCUUCAGAUACGACUACUUGCAAAAUAGAAAUCCUAGCAAGCCCACCAUAGAAUAGUUGCGGGGCCCUAAAAAAAUCUUAAUAUGACAAUACCAUCAGAUAGUAAGAACAGCCCUUGAAGAUUGUAACCCCGCAGCAUGAUUAUAAGAUCUUAUCUUGACAAUACCAUAGAACAGUUGGUUUCAUAGAACUGGAAUAGUAUAAGAAACAAUAAUUCAAUUCCCAUCUGUGACAGCCACCUUAGUCGAAUAUUCAAUUUACACUAUAUGGCCCGUGAAAAUUCAACUAAAAUACUGAAAUAUUUCUAGAUUAAUAAUUCUUAGGGUGCAUUUGGUUCUACAAAAUUGGAAUUGAAUUAGAAUUGGAAUUCUAUAGAAUUAGAAUUCUAGGAAUUGGAAUUCCAAAACGUUGGAAUUCUUUUAUUUGGGAAAUGCAUAGAAUUGAUACAAAAUUCAUUUGGAAUUCCAAAUUCUUUGUUUGGAUGCGAGAAGAAUUGAUUAAGAAUUAGAAUUGUUUCCAUCUAACAUUUGCUUACAUAAAAAUUUUCUUUUUUCCUUUUUCGUGUGAAAUAAUUUUUUAAACAUUUAGCUAAUCGUUACUAAAGUUUCAAGGAAAAAAUCAAUUAAUGCCUUUAAUAAUUUAUUUUUUUCUUGCAUUUAACCAAUUGUUAUUAAAGCUUUAAAGAAAAAAACCAAUUAGUUCCUUUUCUACAAAAAAAAAAUAGUAUUACUCUUGUUUCCUUUAUUCUUAAUUAAAUUAUAUUAGAUAAAAAACUAAUUGGGGUAUGUAAGAGAACAAGAUAAAGUUCAUUGUGUAUGCAAGUAAAGCUUCUGGACAAUAAUGAACAAGAAAGUAACUAUUCACAAAAUAAAAACAAGAAAGUAUGAAGUCUAAAGAAUCUCUUAACAAGACCACAUUAACAUGCCUUUUUCAUGCAGACACGUUUGACCCAAAACUUCAAGAACAGUUUUGAACAAAAACCUGCAUCACUUGUUGCCAACAAACCAUAAAUAUGUCAUCUUGUGCAAUUCGUUGAUUUUUAAAGAGAAUAUUAUCAGUAGAAAGGUGUGCAGCCAAACGUACACAAAUCCGCAUGCAUAAACACAUAUGUAAAUCCAGUGAAAUAAUCUGAUAUUAAUUACAUGGUUCAUGGUUGUACAAGUGAAGUUGCUCCAGUCCCUACAAGAGAGCUUCUUCGACCUUUUGCAAAGAAUGCUGAAGAUCAUAGAUUCUCACAACUUGCUGCUAUAUUUAAGGGUCUAGUUGUCUAUCGACACCAAACAAACAUCAAGCCAUAUACAACAUGUUUUGCACCUUUAAGUCGCAAACUGAGAGACCUGAAAGCAAGAUUCAAAUGAUAAAAGCAAAUUACCUCACAAUUCACCUAAAGAAAGUACAGGUCAUGAUCAGUCCAGCAAAAAUGUAAAAGUCAACAAUCACGUGUUUACAAGCAAAAUGGACAUUCUUAGCCAGCAAAAGAAGAAAUAACUUUGUGGGACAAUCGCAUGUUUAGACAAAUUGAAUAUGGAAUGCAAAUGAAGACGAGACUCAUACUUAUCGGGCUUUCUUUUCUGUAUCCAACAAAUGAUUUGCUAGCUUCUUUAUUACCGUCAUUUUAGGCUAAAUCGAUCUGCUAGCUUAAUAACUGAUGUAAGAAAUAAACUGGUUAUCAUAAUUCAUAACUUAGCAAAAGAAGAAUAAAACAAAUCGCAGCAUAACAGAAAUAAGCCUUAAGAGAUCAUGAGCUGAUAACAGAAAUCGCAGCACUCAUUUACCAUGGACCGUUUACUGCCGGUAUAUCAUUUUAAUGCUGAGAAGCAUCUUCAAUACCUUGACAAGUAAAACUGAUCACAAGCCUCUUCGUAAAUAAGAAAAGGGCCAAUAGUCACAAAAAGAAUAAUACAUUAGGGAAAUGAAGUCUGAAGAGGUAGAACAAAAUGAUAAAACAUGAUCCCCUGUAGUUGUGGUAAGCAUUAAGCAGAAGAUGGGUUUUAGCUGGAAUUUUUGUUAUCAGCUCAUGAUCUCUAAAAACUAGGACCACAUUAACUAAUUAAAAUGAAAUAAAGAAGAAUAGGGCAACAGAGUGCUACCUUUUUUUCUAUCCUCGUCCCAACGUUGAAUUAGAAGCAAAAAAAUAGUAGUAAAUUUAUAACAUUAAUGCCAAACAUUAUCAGAGGAACAACCAAAAAAAAAUCAAUCUUUGAUUGGCAAAAAUUUAAACGUGAAUAUACCAUCAUAAACCCUAAAUUUGUCGAGAAUUGAGAAUUGAGGGAGCGGAAGGAGAGUGAGGACGAGAGGAUGCGACGGCGAUGGUGGUGACGGCAAUGGAAGCGGCAGCAAAGGUAAAAGCGGGAGGCAUAAUUCAAGAUAGAUAGGAAACGACAGAAAGGAGACCAAAAUAUAACUCAAUUUGUAAAUUUCACCCACUUGAUGUUGGGCAGAGGGAGGAAAAGAGGGAGGAAAGGCUUGGAGGGGCUAUGGCAGAGGUGCAGGGACAAGGAGGAGGCAGCGGCGGCGGCAGAGAAUGUUAGAGCAGAUGGCGAUUCACUUAAGAAGACAGAGAAAGAAGCCAGCUUUGUCUUUUUUUUAAUCCAACUUUAUAGUUGACCCGUUUUUGAGUUUUUACCCGUUUAAAGUCCGUGAGUUGAGCCGAAUGAAAAUCUGGCCGUAGAACUGGAAUUGGAAUUCUUUGGUCUAGCCAAAGAAUUGGAACCAUGGAAUUCAAUCGAUAUGGAAUUGCAAUUUGAUUCUAAUUCUAUAGGAAAGGUAGUACCCAAACAUAAGAAUUAGAAUUGGGGAUCCAAUUCCAAUUCUAAACCCCAAUUUCAUGGGGAACCAAACAUACCCUUAGUGUUCCAUAAAAAAAAAAUUUCUAGAUUGAUUAAUCUUGCGUGGCACAAUAAAUUCCACCAUGCAAAAUUCACAAUAGUAGUAUCUAGAUUGUGGAAGAGAAAAUCAUGCUGGCUAAUUUAUUUUUAGCCUUGCGCAGCAACGAGUGAAUUUCUCAGGAACAAGUAUCACUAAAUGAAUAUAUAUUUGUCAAAAGUCUGAUUCCUGAAUUUUAACAAUCCACAACGAGUAGACUGUCCAGCAUGAUCACACAAAAAAAAAGUACCAUGUGAUGAAAAUUAUCCGAUGAAAACAAAUCAAAGAAUUAUUUUGGACCAUUUUGAAUUAUCUCUCUUCCUCACAACUUUAAAGCCAAUGCUAAAUGUCCUCAGCAAAGGUAGAAUCUUGAUGUGGAGCAUUUGAACAAGUUUAGAUUUUGAGUACCUAACCAGGUUAUUUAAUAUCUUCGACAGUCCAACCAAAUAAAGAAUCCUGACAUAGACAUUUUAGCUGAACUCAGUAUUAUGCUGUGAUUAAUAUCAUAACUCACAAACCACUCUUACAACUCCAGAAACAAGUAACCAAAGUCACCACUCCUGCAACAAACAAGGGAUUCAUCAUCAGAAUCGUAAUCAUUAAAAAAAAUAACAUGAAAGUGUAAAAGGCAAAUUUUCAUGCAAAUAUAUGUUAAAAAAUGACCCAGUAAAUCCUCUCAAGGAAGAGGAAGUAAACAUACUUUUCUUUUGGGGCAAAAGAUCUUCUUUAUUGAUAUAGCCAAUAAGAUUGUACAAAUUAGGCAGGAUACUUAGACAUAACACAUGAAUAAUUCCAUUUCUAGCUAUUGCUUAUAUCUAUCAACAGAAAACAUAGAAAAACCAACCACUUUUAAACCAUUUAUGAGAUAUAACCCACUCCAUGCCAUUACCAGGUCCUAGUUGUCCUUCGUUUUAGUUAUUCCCCUGUAAGACCCAACCGGUCCAGGAACAUCACUAAUAAUAGCCGAAAUAAUUUGUACAUUAAGCUCAACUCUUUUCUGUAAAAUGACUAUAAGUUACUUGAUUUCCAUACAUGGUACAAGGUACACGCUAGAGCUAGUCUUCUUGUGUACAUAGAACCAAACACAUCCUUAAAAGUUUUUAGGAGUACAUGGAUUGUAUUGAUAUGAGAAUAACGGUGGGAGUUCUUUGUUCAUCUUCCUUUGGAUGGUUUGACGCCAUAUUGUGUGAUAACUUCAGAGAUGAGAAUUCUAAAGUACUUUGUAAAUUUUAAGAUCAAAAUUCCUUGACCUAUUGUAUACAACUAUUCUUCUCAGUACAAAGAAUUUGUAUUGGCAAUCAAUCUUUGAUAGAUAAAAGACACUAUUUUACUCCCAAGGUCGCAAAGCAAGAUAACAAGAAACCCCGCCGCCGUGCCUACAAACGUAUGCAAUACAAUUUUCGUUUUGUCUCCACCAUUGUUGGCUUUGGAGAGAAUAGAGGGCCAAACUCAUCGUAAAAGUUAACAUGAGGACUGAAGUAUGGUAGUUUUAGUAGGCGAAAUUCUGUUUCGAGCCUGUUGCCUUGUUAUGUUGAUCACGUUAUAGCUGUUAGGAAUCUCAGUCCAAUUUUUUUUUUUUUUGUUAGCAGAAGGGACAUUGAAUCAACCCAUUCUUAUUGCACUCCUUGCACUUGACAGUCUUCUUCCCUUUCUCAUCCAACACUUUGCAACUACCAUUGCAACCUAUGCACAUUACAAACCUGACCACUGCGCACCCAUUGCAGAUAGCAACUGCCUUCGGGAUCCCGCUGAAAACAGUGCCUAACUUACCAUCUUCCUCCAACUUCACUGUCUCGUCAGCCCCACCAAUCAAUCUUCCCUUGACAAAAACCAAGGGAACCUUCACUUCUUUUGUGCCCAUUAAUCCCCUCAAUUCAUCCUUGAAUCCUGAAUGCAUCGAUACAUCAUGCUUAAACAUCUGAACCUGAUGCGACUCGAUCACUGAUCUGGCUGUGUUGCAAUCCUCAAAUGUCUUCCUUAUACCCCUCAGCGUGGUCGUAUAGAGGACCACCGCAUUUUCACCACCCGGGGGGCAUUUUUCCUCGAAAUUUUCGAGAAUAGACACCGAGUCUUGGGAAUUCCUCUUCUUUACCGCGGUGGGCGUUCCUGAAACCAUCUUCUUGAUUCGGACAACUCUUUCUCGAAUGAUGCCACAAGUUUCUGGAUCAAACAGCGGGAUCCAGAAGUUCUAUCAUGUUCUCUAGGCCAGAGAAUUGGUUAGAGUCAUUGGACUGGAUGCUACAAUAUUCCGUUGGUGUCUAUUUCCAUUUGUCUUGUCCCUUGGCAUCUCUGCAAUCUUUAAAUCCCUCUUUAAUAUGCUUUCCCCCUAUUCCUUCUCCUCCUCUAACAACACCAAAGAGAAGCUCCCUCCAGGACCCUCUACCAUCCCAAUCAUCGGCAACAUCUCAUAGCUCGGCAAGUCCUUUUCAAAAUUAGAAUCCAUCCUUCAAAACUUGAAAGCCAAGUACGAUCUCCUCAUCACUUUCAGAAUUGGGUCUCGCCAUUUAAUAUUCAUCUGAAGUUCCUUGGCCCAUAGAACCUUCGUCUAGAAUGGCACCGUCUUCUCCAACUGCCCGAAAGCUUUUUGCAUUGCCUAAAUCUUCAAUAGCAACCGGCAUAACGUCGGCUCUCUUAUGGUCCACUAGGCAUUUUCCCCAUGGUGCUAUCUUUCUGGUAUUUCGUCAGUAAAAGUGCCCCAAUACUUUCUUCCUAAAAUAUCCCUAAAUGGCCUCCCAUGUAGGCGAGAAAAAAGAUAUUUUGGAUGGCACCGCCUAAUAGGUCCUUUCUUGGCACAGACAUUUUCCUUUAAGGACCAAUUGCGUAUAAAAAAACUUUGAAGGAUCAAAUCGGAAUUAGUUAAAAAGUUUAGGGACUAAAUUAGCGAUUUUUCCUAACAAGAAUCAUGGUUGUAACUAUUAUUAUAUUUACAUAAUUUUACCAGUAAAGUAUCAUCCUCCAUUUUCUCAAAACUCCCUAAAAUAUUUCCAGUUAGAUAACAAGAAUCAUGAUUGUAACAACUAGUAUAUUUGCAUAAUGUUACCUGUCCUUCCGGCCAAGUGCUGGUAAGAUGCUUCUAUCCUCCAUAUUUUCAACGUACCUAAGUUGAAAAUUGAAAUGUACCUUGGAAGACCGUUGUGGCAAUGACCAGGAAUCCUACCUAGGCAAGAAUGACCGUUAGUUUUGACCAAAUUUUAUUGGUGCGCGCGUGCAUGCACGUUCGAGCAAUGGAUCGAUUUUGAUUGGCGGCUUUAGUUUCAAAUUUCCAAUCUUAUAAAUAUGGAGUGCGGGCGCGCUAAGCACCUGCAUCGGUUAAGACUUAAGAGGGCUAAGUAACAGUAGCAGACACAUAUAAGCUGUAUACAUGGCCAAGUCCUUUUCCUACCUUCACCUUCUCAUGUUCUUCAUAAUAGUACUUCUAUCACUAGUAAUGCCUUGUUAUGGUGCUGAUCCAUCUCCAUUACAAGAUUACUGCAUCGCGGAUUUAAGUUCAGAUAUAUAUUUGAAUGGCU
rnacentral:lncRNA from 1 species